ACCUUCCUCCCGCGACAGAGACUCAGUGCUACGCUCCUAAGGAAGUUGAGGAUAAAAUUGCUGGCAGUUCAGGUAGUGCUCGACGACGCUGAGGCCAAGCAAUUCACAAAAUCAGCUGUAAAAGAUUGGCUGGAUGACCUGAAAGAUGCUGUGUAUGAUGCAGAGGACCUGUUGGAUGAUAUCACCACUGAAGCUCUACGCUGCAAAAUGGAGUCUGAUGCUCAAACCAGCGCAACUCAGGUACGUGACAUCACCUCUGCCUCGCUUAAUCCGUUUGGUGAGGGGAUCGAGUCCAGGGUAGAGGAGAUCACUGACAAACUAGAAUAUCUUGCACAAGAAAAAGAUGUUCUGGGAUUGAAAGAAGGCGUUGGAGAAAAAUUGUCACAAAGAUGGCCCGCGACUUCCUUGGUAGAUGAGUCUGGGGAGGUGUACGGAAGGGAAGGUAAUAUACAGGAGAUAGUUGAAUAUUUGUUGUCCCAUAAUGCAAGUGGGAAUAAGAUAAGUGUGAUCGCCCUGGUGGGUAUGGGCGGUAUUGGAAAGACCACACUUGCUAAGCUGGUGUAUAAUGAUAGGAGAGUGGUGGAAUGUUUUGACCUUAAAGCUUGGGUUUGUGUUUCCGAUGAAUUUGAUCCUGUCAGGAUAACGAAAACCAUUCUUAAGGCAAUCGAUUCUGGGGCUUCUGAAAAAUAUUCUGAUGAUAGUGAUUUGAAUCUGCUUCAACUUAAAGUGAAGGAGAGACUUAGUAAGAAGAAAUUCUUACUUGUCCUUGAUGAUGUUUGGAAUGAAAACUAUAAUAAUUGGGAUAUGCUACAAACUCCAUUCACCGUUGGUCUAAAUGGAAGUAAGAUUAUAGUAACUACACGUAGUGAUAAGGUUGCAUCGGUCAUGCGUUCAGUUCAUAUUCAUCAUUUGGGACAGUUAUCCUUUGAGGACUGCUGGUCGCUAUUUGCAAAACAUGCAUUUGAAAAUGGAGAUUCUAGUCUACAUCCAGAACUUGAAGAAAUUGGCAAAGGGAUUGUAAAGAAGUGUAAAGGAUUGCCUUUGGCUGCAAAGACCCUAGGGGGUGCCUUAUACUCAGAGUUACGAGUAAAAGAAUGGGAAUUUGUGUUGAACAGCGAAACGUGGGAUUUACCGAAUGAUGAAAUUCUCCCUGCCUUAAGGUUAAGCUAUUCUUUUCUUCCUUCACAUUUAAAGCGAUGUUUUGCAUAUUGCUCAAUUUUUCCUAAGGACUACGAAUUUGAAAAGGAAAUUUUGAUUCUAUUGUGGAUGGCUGAAGGCUUUUUGCAACAAUUUGAAAACAAGAAAACAAUGGAAGAAGUGGGUGAUGGGUACUUUUAUGACCUAUUAUCAAGGUCAUUUUUUCAGAAGUCCAAUAGUCACAAAUCAUAUUUUGUAAUGCAUGAUCUCAUUCACGACUUGGCUCAACUUGUUUCUGGAAAAUUUUGUGUUCAAUUGAAGGAUGGUAAGAUGAAUGAAAUUCUUGAAAAGCUCCGCCAUUUAUCAUAUUUUAGAAGUGAAUAUGACCCGUUUGAGAGAUUUGAGACCCUAAAUGAAGUUAAUGGUCUUCGUACCUUCUUUCCUUUGAAUUUGAUAACUUGGCCUCGAUUUGACAAGGUUUCAAAUAAUAGAAAUCCAAAUGCUGUUAGGUAUGUUGUAGAUUUUCGGUUGAGUAAUAGAGUUUGGACCGAUUUAUUAUUGAAAGUUCAAUAUUUACGAGUAUUAUCAUUAUGCUACUAUAAGAUAACGGAUUUGUCUGAUUCAAUUGGUAAUUUGAAACAUUUGCGCUAUUUGGACCUUACCUACACACUCAUCAAAAGGUUACCAGAGUCGAUUUGUAGUUUGUAUAAUUUACAAACAUUGAUAUUAUACGAGUGUAGAUGUCUUGUUGAAUUGCCUAAAAUGAUGUGGAAAAUGAUUAGCUUACGUCAUCUUGAUAUCAGGCAUAGCAAAGUGAAAGAGAUGCCAAGUCACAUGGGUCAAUUAAAAAGUCUACAAAAAUUGAGUAACUAUAUAAUGGGUGAGCAAAGUGGGACAAGGGUUGGAGAGUUGAAGAAGCUUUCGCGCAUUGGUGGAAGUCUUGUCAUUCAAGAGCUGCAGAAUGUGGUUGAUGCUAAGGAUGCCUCAGAGGCCAAUUUGGUAGGCAAGCAAUAUCUGGAUGAGUUACAGUUGGAAUGGAAUCGUGGUAGUGAUGUUGAACAAAAUGGAGCAGAGAUAGUGCUGAACAACUUACAACCUCAUUCAAACUUAAAGAGACUCACUAUUUACGGUUAUGGUGGUUCAAGAUUUCCAGAUUGGUUAGGUCCUUCAGUUCUGAAUAUGGUGUCGCUACGUCUCUGGUAUUGUACGAAUAUGUCAACCUUCCCACCGCUGGGGCAGCUACCCUCUCUUAAACAUUUAUAUAUAUCGGGGUUGGAGGAGAUAGAAAGGGUGGGCGCAGAGUUUUAUGGGACUGAGCCCUCCUUUGUCUCCCUAGAAGCUCUAUCAUUUCGGGGUAUGCGAAAAUGGAAGGAAUGGUUGUGUUUGGGAGGCCAAGGUGGAGAAUUCUCUCGUCUCAAGGAGCUUUAUAUAGAGAGGUGUCCCAAGCUAAUCGGAGCCUUACCAAAUCAUCUGCCUUUGUUGACGAAACUAGAGAUUGUACAAUGUGAGCAGCUUGUGGCUGAACUUCCAAGGAUUCCAGCCAUCCGUGUAUUGACGACACGCAGCUGUGACAUCUCACAGUGGAAGGAACUACCACCACUACUGCAGGAUCUCUCAAUUCAAAAUUCCGACUCUUUGGAGUCCCUAUGGGAGGAGGGAAUGUUGCAAAGUAAUACUUGUCUUCGACAGUUGAGAAUCAGAAAUUGCUCUUUUUCGAGACCCUUGUGCAGAGUUUGUUUGCCCAUUACAUUGAAUUCGUUAUAUAUAAACGAUUCUAAGAAACUAGAGUUUCUCCUACCUGAGUUUUUAAAAUGUCACCACCCUUCCCUUGACUAUUUGUCUAUCGUCAGAAGUAAUUGCAAUUCUCUCUCAUCCUUCCCACUCGGCAACUUCCCAAGUUUAACUGAGCUCGCUAUCUGCAAACUCAGGGGGAUUGAAUCCCUCUCCAUUUCAAUUUCAGAGGGCGAUGUUACAUCUUUUCAUUGGUUGAACAUCAGAAGUUGCCCUGAUCUUGUGUCUAUUGAAUUGUCAGCUCUCGACUUCUCACGAUAUUCCAUCUUCAAGUGCAAGAAUCUCAAGCGGCUGCUGCACAACGCUGCAUGCUUUCAGUCAUUAACAAUAGAAGGUUGUCCUGAAUUGAUAUUCCCAAUACAAGGUCUGCAAGGACUGUCCUCUCUUACCUCUCUCAAAAUCUCAGAUCUUCCAAAUCUCAUGUCCCUUGACAGUUUGGAGCUUCAACUGCUCACCUCACUUGAAAAAUUAGAGAUCUGUGGCUGCCCCAAGCUCCAAUUCUUGACAGAAGGGCAGCUGCCCACCAACCUUUCUGUUCUAACAAUUCAGAACUGCCCAUUUCUGAAAGAUCGGUGCAAGUUUUGGACAGGGGAAGAUUGGCAUCAUAUAGCUCACAUUCCACACAUUGCGAUCGAUGACCAAGUUUUGUAAUGAAGAUGGCAUUACACCAAUUUAUAGUCAGGUACUUGUUCUGUCCUAAAAAUGAUUGUCUCUGGAAAACUAACAUACUUAAUACCAAGUUUGAUUUGAUCCAUUAUAAAUAGGAAAAAUAUGCUUUAAAUUUUCUAAUUAUUAUAACAAUUUCUUGCUUUCUUUCAGGUCAUCUGUGAUGCUUCACUCUGGCUCUGAUCAACAUAUCUUCAUAAGGAAUCUUUUAAGACUCCCUUGCUUAAUUAGUGCCUUGUCAAAUGCUUCAGGUUUCAUUUAGAGUGAAUUGAUGCUUAAAAGCCAAGCAGCUCUGCAGGUCUGAUUUUGUAAAUUGUGUUUCUUGUACAAUUUUAUGGACCUUGAAUUUGUUUUCAUUGGCUAAUUUGCUGAAAUCUGAUGGCAGGCCUUUGAUCCUUGUUCUCUCAACAAACUCUAGCUGUCUAGCAAUGAUUUCCAACGGGACCAUCUUUUUGUUGUGAGUUCAGGUUCAUGACUCUCUUUUUGGACAACAGUAGCCGAGAUUUUUUGCACCCAAAGAAUCAUGAGUUGAUACUCUGCUGGAGGAACUACAGAAGCUCAACUCUGUUGGAGAGUGGAGGAUGCAGCAGGCUCUAUGAUUCCAGUUAGUGAGACAUUUCGAUUGCUUUGGUUUAACUUUCUAAGCUACAAACUACAAUACUCAUAAUCUCAUAUGCAUUAUUUUUCAGGUUCUUUGAGGUUGCAUCAGCGUUGAUAUCUUAGUUCUUCUCUAAAAACAACAGGUAUGUUUCUUUUAAUUCAUACUUUUCAUAAGCUGACACAUUGUGGAGUUCCAUCAUUUUCAACACGAGAUAAACCUAAUACUAAAUUCUACUGAAGCUAAAACAAAAAUCUUACUGCCUGAGGUUCUGUCUUUCAUGAAUUUUAUUCACUAUGUUCAUAUGGCAUCUAAGCAACCUAGACGUUAACAUUUUCCUUGGUCUACAUAUUGUUUUCAUCUCUUUCAGCUUUGAUUAAUCUGCAGACAUUCGGUUUAGGCACCUCAAACUCAAAAUCUUCAGCUUCUGUCAUGCCAUCUCCUUCUCAUUUCAUGAUUGUCAUCCACCUUUGAGCUUUACUUUGUUAAUGGUAAGAUAGUCAUAAUAGUACUACAAUAGUUGAGCAUGGAUUGACAACAAUGAAUGCUUUCAGUCUUCAACAUCACAUGGUUGUCCUGAAUUGAUAUUCCCAAUGCAGGGUCUUCCCUCCAACCUAAAUUCACUUACAAUAACAAACUGCAACAAACUUACAUCCCACAUGGACUGUGGCCUGCAAGGGCUGGCCUCUCUUACCUCUCUCAAAAUCUCAGGUCUUCCAAAUCUCAGGUCCCUGGACAGUUUGGGGCUUCAACUGCUCACCUCUCUCCAAAAAUUAGAGAUCCGUGACUGCCCCAAGCUCUAAUCCUUGACAGAAAUGCUGCUGCCCACCUCCUUUCUGUUCCAACAAUCCAGAACUGCCCAUUGCUGAAAGGUCAGUGCAAGUUUUGGACAAGGGAAGAUUGGCAUCAUAUAGCACACAUUCCAAACAUUGUGAUCGAUGACCAAGUUUUGUAAUGAAGGUAGCAUUACACUAAUUUUUAGUCAAGUACUUGUUCUGUCCUUAUAGUAAUUUUCUCAGGAAAACUGAUAUGCUUAAAUACCAAUUUUAAUUUGAUCCAUCAUAAAUGGGAAAAAAUAUGCUUUAAAUUUUCUAAUUAUUAUAAUAACUUCUUGCUUCUUUCAGGUUAUCAGUAAUUCUUCUCUCUUGUAAAUUGAUGCUUAAAAGCCAAGCAGCUCUGCAGGUCUGAUUUUGUAACUUGUUUUUCUUGUAUAAUUUUAUGGACCUUGAAUUCGUUUUCAUUGGCUAAUUCACUGAAACUCAUGGAAUGCCUCUGAUCCUAUUUUUUUCAAUAAAUUCGAGCUGUCUAGCAACAAUCCUUCCAAUGGGACCUUUUUUUAUCGAGUUCAAAGACUCUUUCUGGAAGAUUGUAGCAGAUAUUUUCUAGCAUCCAUAGACUCAUGAUUGAUAAUCUGCUUGAGGAACUGAGAAAGCUCAACUCUGUUAGAGAGUGGAGCAUGCAACAUGCUCUGUGAUUCCCAUUAGUCAGAUAUUUUAAUUGCUUUUGUUUAACUUUCUAAGCUACAAAUUACAAGGAUUUAUAAUUCCAUGUGCAUUAUUUUUCAGGUUCUCUGUGUUAAUAUUCUAGUUCUUCUCUAGAAAAAACAGGUAUGUUUCUUCUGUGUUAAUACUUUUCAUAAGAUGACACAUUGUGGAGUUCCAUCAUAUGCAUGACAAGAUAAACCCAAUUCUAAAAUCAACUCAGCCGAAAACACAUUGUGGAGUUCCAUAUGGCAUCUUAGCGCCGUAAAUGUUAACAUUUUCCUUAGUGUAAUCAUUGUUUUAGCUUCAAUUAAUCUGCAGAUGUUCAGUUUAGACAUCUCAAACACAAAAGCUUCAGCUUCUGACAGGCCACCACUUCCUAGUCUCUGCUCAUCUCCUUCCCAUUUAACUAUUGUCAUCAACCUUCGAUUUUUUUACAUCGUUGAUGGUAAAAGAAUCAUAAUUGUACUACAUUUGUUGAGCAUGGAUGCUACCAUUUAAUUUCCAUAUUCAAGCUUUUCUUGUACUUACAAAUGAUAAUGUGAGCUCUGGAUUUUCUUCUUUUAAAUUUGUGAUUCUGAGGCAGAUGCUUGGAGAAGAGAGAAGUCAAACCAUAUUCAAAGUCAUUGCAGUGCAGAGUAUGGUUUUGUUCCACCAAGUUCAGGUCAGUUGAGUGGAAUCUUAUUAAUACUUCAAGGACGCAUGAUCAAAUUGGCUGAUUUUCCAAACUUGAUGAGUGCCUCUAACCAUGAACGAACUAUUUUUUUUACCAGCUUUGUGUUAAGAAAUUGUGAUCGUGUUGGAUCUACUCAUACCACCUCCCUCCAUGAUGAAUUUUAACUACUCAAUACUUGGAGGAUGGCUACUCAACUGAAUUCUAUUUAUUGGAGCACGAUUUGAGCUUUUCUUCCUUACUCAGGUAUAGUGCUAUAAAAUUUUCAGUCUGAAGAGUAUUUAUAACCCCCUACGAAUUUUAAUGUCAGAUUCAGCUGAUUGGCAUGUGACCGUAUUUUUUUUCAGAUGGUAGCAUUUUGAAUCUUUGGAACAAUUGCAGGAGGAAGCUUUGCCAAAGCCUCCCUAUGCAAUACAUGGGCCUUUGGUUGCAAGUGAGAUUUGAGGAUUCUAUUUUCUCUUGGAAGACUUCAACUCAUUUUUUUUGAGUUUUGAGCUUUGCGCUUUUACUUCCAAGCAUAUGCAAAGAAGAAAGAAAGCAACAACAAAGGUCCAGUUAUAGAAGUUUUAUACGGAGUGAGACUCCCAUGAAAAAUAUUGUAGCUAUUGGUUUGUCAACCUUGAAGGAUAUAGUUUUGUUUCCCAUUGGAUCUCUGACGAAUGUGUUUGUUGAAUCAUACAUUUUGAACUUACUAUUGAUUUUGUGUAUAUACAUAAAUAUAAAUGAUGUUUUCUUCUUCCAAAUACUGCACAUGACAAGUCAGAACAAGAAACAUUUUAGAAAAAGUAGGAAACUGACAUUAGCAUUAAUCAUGAGGCCUCUAAUGGUGACCAAGAAAAUGGCAAUUGCAAAUGACUCACCAUCAAAAUGGCAAAAGAAUUAGCAACUACUAUGUCCCCAUCCACUAGUGCCGGCACAAAAUUGAGAGGAUUCAGCUUUGAAAACUCUAAAAUUCGAAAAUUGUAAAAAUAUUAAGAAGCUACUUGAAAAACAACAGAAUGAUCAAGGUAAGUCCAGUACUCAUAAAUUUUGCAUAUGUUUAAAGACAAAUUGGAAAGCUGAGAAUAUAACGGAAUUAAGCAAUGAAUAAGAACCCCCAAAUAUAUUCCUUUCACAGAAAAAAUCAGUGGAACGGGAUGAUCCCAACAAAACUAAGAAUUAUAUUAAAUCCAUGUUUAUCUCCUAGAAAUACAGGGAAAAAAAACAAUAAAAAGAAAUCAGAAGUUCUGAUGAUGCGUAUCAAGAAGAGUCUAACUGCCUUGUACCAAGUUCACUGCCUUGUACUCGUUUUUCAGCCCUGUUCAAAGUUGAAGCACAAAAGACCCAGAUAGAAUAACCAAAAAUUGAUUUAAUGAAAAGAAAAAGAAAAUUAGGGUUUGGAGUAAAGAAGGAAAGAAGGAAAAAGAAUGGAACGUUUCAAGUUGAGGGCUAUUCGAACACGACAGGAGCAGGAACUCCGCCAAUAUGAAUACAGCUUCAGCUGAGUAUCCUCCUAUCCCCAUAUCCCCCAUAGUCCCCAUACAACAUAAACAUAUCAGAAUUCAGAAAUAUAUAAAAAGAAUUAUGAUGGAGAAGACCCACUCACCAUAGUUGCAGUUUGAUGGAAAAACACUGAACACUGCCCACUGCCCACUGCCCACUGCCAUCUCCUUUACCUCCCCAAACAAUAUUAAUAUGGAGAAUUAUAAUUUAGGUUACAAAUAAUAAUUUUUCUAUAUUUUAAUAUUUUUUUUAAAGAUGAUGAGAUAACAUCCGUAAAGACGUUAUAUUUUUAUGUUUUUAAAAGGUAGAAUUCAUCUUUUUAGAAUAUUUUUUUAAUUAAAUAACCCUUUUAAAAUAUCAAAUAAUUUGGUAUACAUUUUCUCCUACAAUUUAUAAAUUUACUUAAUAUAAAAAUAUUUUACUACUAAGACUAUAAAAAUUUUCAAAAUUUUCUUUUCUUUAUAUUCUUCUUAUUUUCCAUAAUUAUUUUUCUUUCAUUAUUAUUAUUCACUUUAUUAUUUUUACAAAUAAAAAAAAUGAAAGGAUAAAUAAUAAUUAAAAAAAUAAAAUAAAAUAAUAACAUUUUUAUCUUUUUUUCUCAUUUAUUGAUUUAUAGUUUUUUUUUCUAAUAUUUUAUCUCAAUUACAACACAUUUUAUAAAGCAUAUUCUCCUAAAUUAAUAAGGAAGAAGAUGACAAAAAUGCAAGAAAAAAAAAAAAAAAAUAUUUCUUCGCAUCUUCCUAUGUCAUCAACUUCCAUGCUCAUUUUAGUUUUAUUGCCACGUGGGGCCCUAAGUGGUAAGAGUAGACACAUUGAUUUAUUAUUAUAAGGGAAAGUUAGGUUUUAGACUAUCAAUAUCAAAAUAAUAACAUAUUCAAAACCUAUGUUGCUAAUUUCAAGUUUAAAAUGCUAAUCUCAAAAAUAUUUUAUAUUUCAUGCACUUUGAAUUGAGCUAUUUUUUAAUACUCAACAUACCUUCUCUUUCUGUCAAGUCAACCUCCACAAGUUUUAAAAAAACAAAAGACCAAAAAUAAAAAACAACUUUAUAGCAAAAUCUUUGUUCUUCGUUGUUUUAUUUCUGCGUAAACCCUCAAAUCACUUUUCCUUCUUUUGCAUUUUGGUGUAUACAAGAGUUUACAUCUUACGCAAAUAACUUCCAAUCUAGCCUCUUUUAAAAUUUUUGGUUCCUUUUAUUUUAUAUAGUUUAAAUUGAUGUUGAAAACCCUUUAUAAAAAAUAAUUAAACAUAUCUUAAAUUUAUUCUUAAAAAUAACUACAAACCAAUUUUCAAAAUUCUUUUUUUUUUCCUUUAUCAAAAGCUUACCUGUUUCAAAAUCGCAUUAAUUUUGUCCUAGCCAAAUUUUUAUUUAUUUAUUUUCCUGUUGUAAACUAUCAUUUUGGUGGCUGCAGGGACUGUCUCCUAGUUCUGCCACUUGAUCUCUCCGGCCAAACUGCUGUUAAUUAAUCAGCAUGUCUCCGUCCUCUUUGUGGAACUUUUUCUUUUCUACUGUGGAACUUUUUCUUUUCUACCCUAAACUAAAAUUGCACUACCUCUAAAUUAUUAUUAUUAUUAUUAUUAUUAUUAUUAUUAUUAUUAUUAUUAUUAUUAUUAUUGUUGUUGUUGUUGUUGUUGUUGUUGUUGUUGUUGUUGUUGUUGUUGUUGUUGUUGUUUAAUAUGAUUGGAUUUUGGAUUUUUUGAAUAAUUUAUUUGAGUAGAGGCUCAAAACGGAUUUUCCACAAGGUGGGUUCAGCUGUUGGUUUGGGUGUGGUCACUGCAACAGAAUGGGUGUGAGCUCCUCCCCAAAACCCCCCUCACAUGACAUCUCUCUUUCAGCUGUUGGUUUGGGUGUGGUCACUGCAACAGAAUGGGUGUGAGCUCCUCCCCAAAACCCCCCUCACAUGACAUCUCUCUUUCCUCCUUUUUCCCUCUAUUCCCAAAACCCAAUGCCCGCCUUUCUCAGAGGGCUUUUUUUAACUUCUUCGGUUAGUUUUUUUUUUAAAAAGAAAAAUCUUAAAAAUUAUAAUUUUAAAAUUAUUAAUAAACUUAUGAUACUUUUUACCACGUUGAAAUAUAUGUUUAAUAAAAAACAUUUUUUAUAUUUUUCAUAUCAAUGAUAUGUGUUAAAAAAAAUUGAAUUUAGACUAAAAGUAUCUCUUCAAGAGACCUUCCAUAAUUUCAUAAAACUGAAUUUAUGUUACAAGCAUUUCUUCAAGAGACAUUUUUUUUAUAAUUUUUUUUAUUAUUCAUACAUGUUAAGCAAAUUGAAUUUAUAUUAAAGAUGUCUCUUUAAGAGACACCUUUAAUGUAAAUUUAUUUAUUUUUAUCGUGUGUUAUUGAUAUGAAAAUUGUUGAAGUAUUUCUUUAAGAGAUAUUUUUUAAUGUGAUGAAAAGUGUGAUAAAUUUAAAAAUAUUUUCCAAUGUACUGUUGAGAUAUUAUGAAUGUUUUCCUUAUAUCAUUCUUUCCUUAUAUCAUUUAGUGUUGAGAUAUUAGGAAUGUUUAGAUAUUAGGAAAGUUGAGAUAUUAUGAAUAUUGAGAUACUAGGAAUAUUGAGAUAUUAGGAUAUUAGUUGUUAUUUCCUUAUAUCAUUCUUUCCUUGUAUCAUUCUUUCCCAUUCUUAGAAUGGUGAUUACCCUCUAUAUAUACUCUGUACAUGAACGAAUGAAAGUAUGAAUGAAAAAACUACCAUUUAUCAAUUUGAAGAUGGUAUCAGAGCCAUGGAACUGAAAUCCUGGAUAUUUUGUUGCUAUGGUAGUCCGACAGCGAUCAACCAUCCUAAGACAAACCCUAAUAUUGAUAAGUCAACCUUCAAAUGCACUCACUUCAAUAAGACUGGUCCCACCAGUCUGGAUAUCCCACAAUUUCAAAGCAACGACUCUUGGUAUGACUAGGAAAACAAUAAGGAACCGAGGGUUUGAACCAUGGACCUUUAGAUCAUGUUUAGGCUAUCAACACUUUGUUAUUAAUUAUAAUAAUCGUGAUCAACGGAAGAAGGAUCCCAAAAAAACCUCGACUACAACUAUUGUCGAAAUAAAAAUAGAGGCUAAUGUUGCUGAUAAAGCCUUUGCAUUGGUAGUCGCUACUAAUCAUGGUGGUAAGUUUUUAAAUACUUUUACAUCUGUUAUUAAUAGUGCAUGGAUAAUUGAUUUUUGGUGCUACAGAUCAUAUGACUUUUGAUUCUAGACAGGUUUCACCCCUUAGACCUUCCUCACAAAAAAUUGUUUCCACAGCCAAUGGUAUCACAACCCCAAUCAUUGGGGAAGGAUCCUUAACUCUUACUGAUACUUUGAAUUUGGAUUCUGUUUUAGUUGUUCCAUCUUUAGAUUACAAUCUUUUGUCAGUUUCUCAAAUCACUACAGCCUUAUCUUGUAUUGUCAUUUUUUGGUCUGAAUUUUGUUUGAUUAAGGACAUCCAAACAAGACAGACGAUUGGUUGUGGUAUUAAACGAGGAAAACUCUAUUACUUGGACUUGCAAUCAAAGGAUUCAAAUAAGUUGCAACAAGCCUUGAUGGCAGAUGGAUUUGAGGGGGAGAAGAAAAAGUCUGAAAUUUGGUUGUGGCAUCGACGUCUGGGACAUGCUUCCUUUGGUUAUUUAAAAAAAUUGUUUCCUAGUUUGUUUGCAAAGAGUGAUAUUUCUGGUUUCCGUUGUGAUAUUUGUGAAUUGGCUAAAAGCCAUCGUGCUUCGUUUCCGUUAAUUUUGAAUAAAAGUCCGUUUCCUUUUAUGGUUAUACAUUCUGAUGUUUGGGGCCCAUCCAAAGUCCCAACUUUGAGUGGCUCACGUUGGUUUGUUACUUUUAUUGAUGAUUGUACCAGAAUGACAUGGUCAUGCUUGAUGAAGACCAAAGAUGAAGUGAACUUGUUGUUUCANNNNNNNNNNNNNNNNNNNNNNNNNNNNNNNNNNNNNNNNNNNNNNNNNNNNNNNNNNNNNNNNNNNNNNNNNNNNNNNNNNNNNNNNNNNNNNNNNNNNGAUCAUAUGACUUUGAUUCUAGACAGGUUUCACCCUUAGACCUUCCUCACAAAAAAUUGUUUCCACAGCCAAUGGUAACACAACCCCAGUCAUUGGGGAAGGAUCCUUAACUCUUAUUGAUACUUUGAAUUUGGAUUCUGUUUUAGUUGUUCCAUCUUUAGAUUACAAUCUUUUGUCAGUUUCUCAAAUCACUACAGCCUUAUCUUGUAUUGUCAUUUUUUGGCUUGAAUUUUGUGUGAUUAAGGACAUCCAAACAAGACAGACAAUUGGUUGUGGUAUUAAACGAGGAAAACUCUAUUACUUGGACUUGCAAUCAAAGGAUUCAAAUAAGUUGCAACAAGCCUUGAGGGCAGAUGGAUUUGAGGGGGAGAAGAAAAAGUCUAAAAUUUGGUUGUGGCAUCGACGUCUGGGACAUGCUUCCUUUGGUUAUUUAAAAAAAUUGUUUCCUAGUUUGUUUGCAAAGAGUGAUAUUUCUGGUUUCCGUUGUGAUAUUUGUGAAUUGGCUAAAAGCCAUCGUGCUUCGUUUCCGUUAAUUUUGAAUAAAAGUCCGUUUCCUUUUAUGGUUAUACAUUCUGAUGUUUGGGGCCCAUCCAAAGUCCCAACUUUGAGUGGCUCACGUUGGUUUGUUACUUUUAUUGAUGAUUGUACCAGAAUGACAUGGUCAUGCUUGAUGAAGACCAAAGAUGAAGUGAACUUGUUGUUUCAAAAAUUUCAUAAAAUGAUUGAAACUCAGUACAAUGCAAAGGUUUGGGUUCUACGUAGUGAUAAUGGUGGAGAAUAUCAAAGUUAUGAUCUUCAAAAGUAUUUGGAAGGACAUGUCAUCAUUCAUCAGACUACUUGUUCCAAUACACCCUAGCAAAAUGGAGUCGCUGAACGAAAAAAUCGACACUUGUUAGAGGUUGUUCGUGCUUCCUUGAUAGCAGCAAAAACACCGAUAUCUUAUUGGGGAGAAGCAAUCACAUCUGCCGCAUACUUGAUCAAUCGGGUACCUUCUAGCUCAAUUAACUUUCAAACACCUCUCCAAGCUCUUACUAAUGCCGUAGUUGCCCCAACCGUCCGAAAUCUACCUCCUCGUGUUUUUGGUUGCUGGCAUUUGUGCAUCUACACAAGCACCAACGCACCAAGUUAACUUCCCAUGCAUUGCAAUGUGUGUUUGUUGGAUAUGCAUUGCACAAAAAGGGAUAUCGAUGCUACCAUCCUCCAACUCGACAAAUGUAUAUUACAAUGGAUGUGGUGUUUCAUGAAGAUUCAAUGUAUUUUUCAUCUGAGUCUGAACUUCAGGGGGAGUACCAAAAGGAAAUUUAGACUCUCGAUUAUGAUUAUCAUAUCUCUGAGGAAGAUGAAUCUGGACAAUCUGAACUAGUGAACCAGGAAGUGGGUGAGUUGGAUAUGAGUAGUCAACAAUUUGGGUCCGAAGAUGUCUUCACUGAAAUACCAAACCAAUCGUUGUCUGUUGAGGGUGUUCUUAAUUUGGAACCUGAUCCAUUCAUGAAACGGUUACGACAUCGUCAUAAUAGAGGUAUUCCUAAACCCACAUAGGAACCUGAAUUGUCUACUAAAGUCAAAUAUCCCAUGAGCAACUAUGUGUCUACCCAUCGUUUGUCUGAAUCAAAUAAGUCAUUUGUAAAUCAAUUAUCUACUAUAGCUAUUCCAAGGUGGAAAGCAGCCAUGAAUGAAGAGAUGAAAUCAUUGCAAAAGAAUGAAACAUGGGAACUCGUAGAAUGUCCACUAGGAAAGAAGCCAGUUGGGUGUCGUUGGAUCUAUACUGUGAAGUACAAGGCAGAUGGUAGUAUUGAACGAUUUAAAGCAAGACUGGUAGCAAAAGGGUACACUCAAACUUAUGGAAUUGACUACACAGAGACAUUUGCACCUAUAGCUAAGAUCAACACAAUUCGAGUAUUAUUGUCUUUAGCUGCAAACCUAGAUUGGUCAUUACAACAAUUCGAUGUGAAAAAUGCAUUUCUGCAUGGCGAGUUAUCUGAAGAAGUAUAUAUGGAUCUUCCACCAGGAUGCAUGGUAUCAGAAAAGCAAUGUCAGAAGGUGUGCAAAUUGAAGAAGUCAUUGUAUGGGUUGAAGCAAUCCCCGAGAGCAUGGUUUGGAAGGUUCACAAAGUCAAUGAGAGCUUUUGGCUAUCGUCAAAGUAAUUCAGAUCACACUUUGUUCCUAAAAAAACAACAUGGUAAGAUUACGACACUCAUUGUAUAUGUGGAUGACAUGGUAGUUACAGGAAAUGAUCCUGAAGAAAGAAAAGCUCUGCAAAAUUAUCUAUCUAGAGAAUUCGAAAUGAAAUAUCUAGGUCAUCUGAAAUACUUUCUUGGGAUUGAAGUUUCUCGAUCAAGUGAAGGAAUUUUUCUGUCUCAAAGAAAGUAUGCCUUAGAUCUUUUACAGGAGACUGGAAUGUCGGGAUGUCAACCUAUUAAUACACCAAUAGAAGAAGGUCUGAAAUUGUGUGUUGAGCCUAAUCAAGUAUCAACCGAUAAGGGAAGAUACUAGAGACUUGUGGGGAGAUUAAUGUACUUAGCUCAUACAAGACCAGAUCUUGCUUAUGCAUUGAGUGUAGUGAGUCAAUUCAUACAUAAUCCUAGAGAGCAACAUAUGAAUGCAGUCAUGCGUAUUUUUGAGGUAUUUGAAGAAUGCUAACGGGAAGGGGAAUUUUNNNNNNNNNNNNNNNNNNNNNNNNNNNNNNNNNNNNNNNNNNNNNNNNNNNNNNNNNNNNNNNNNNNNNNNNNNNNNNNNNNNNNNNNNNNNNNNNNNNNGUGACAAUAAAGCCGCAUGUGACAUUGCUCAUAAUCCAGUACAACAUGAUCGUACAAAGCAUGUCGAGGUGGAUAGAUUCUUCAUUAAGGAAAAGUUGGAUGAUAAGAUUGUGGAAUUGCCUAAGAUUCGAUCAGAAGAUCAAUUGGCCGAUAUCCUUACCAAAGCUGUCUCAAGUCAAGUGUUCUCAAAAUUUUUAGACAAGUUGGGCAUGUGUGACAUCUAUGCACCAACUUGAGGGAGAGUGUUGAGAUAUUAGGAAUGCUUUCCUUAUAUCAUUCUUUCCUUAUAUCAUUUAGUGUUGAGAUAUUAGGAAUGUUUAGAUAUUAGGAAAGUUGAGAUAUUAUGAAUAUUGAGAUAUUAGGAAUAUUGAGAUACUAGAAAUAUUGAGAUAUUAGGAAUAUUGAGAUAUUAGGAAAGUUGAGAUAUUAGGAAUAUUGAGAUACUAGGAAUAUUGAGAUAUUAGGAAUAUUGAGAUAUUAGGAAAGUUGAGAUAUUAGGAUAUUAGUUGUUAUUUUCUUAUAUCAUUAUUUCCUUGUAUCAUUCUUUCCCAUUCUUAGAAUAGUGAUUACCCUCUAUAUAUACUCUGUACAUGAACGAAUGAAAGUAUGAAUGAAAAAAACUACCAUUUAUCAAUUUGAAGAUGUACUAUAUUUUGAAAUUUUAAUUUUAAAUUCACCAUACAUCUAUGAAAAAUCCCUUUCUCAUACAACCAUUUAAAAAAGGCUACCAUGGCCCCAUACUUUUCCAAUUCCAUGAAUGAGAUCGGAAAUGCACAUCUACCCACUUCUUCGUCCCCCACACUUUGGUUUCCCCUUUUAAUGGAACAACUCCAAUUAAUUGAGGUAUAUGCAAGCUUUCAAAAAAUGGGUAUAUGUUAAUUUAGAUAUGCCAAUCCAAUGGCCCAAAAUGAACUUGUAAUCUAGCUGUACUUUUUCUCCAUUAUAAGGCACUAAAAUGAAUUCCAUGAUUAAGAUUUUGUUACAUGUUUUGGUUUGGAUCCAAUUACCCAUUUGGACCCAAAACCCUAAUAUGUGUUAUUUUCCUAGAUGAUGAAUCUCACUUCAUUAGGGUUUCAUAUGUAAACAAGUAGCUGAUCAAAAACUACCACAGUCAAAAAGUGGAACUCGAUCUUCACAUAUAAAAAUUUAAUACUAAAUCCACUCAUUGUUGCUUUUAGUCAUAAUUCCUACAGAAAAAUUAGAGCAAGCUAUUAUGAAAAAUUAUGAAUGAAGAUAUGAGAAAUAUUAUAUUAUUUAAUUGUUAUAAAAUUUAUCUUAAUCAGGUCUUUUCCUAUUGCAAAAUAAAUAAACAAAUAAAUAGAGUUUUUUUAAUUGCUAUAAUAUAUUUAUUUGUAAGUCUAAAAGUGAACUCAUUGGGAGCUCUAAACCUACUAGUGUGAACAAUUGGAUUACUUAAUUUGGUGAUAGCUCAUUCAUUUAUUUUUUUAAUUGAUUUUUAAAUUUAUUCAUUUCUUUCUUUAUUGGUCUUAUCUCUUGGAAAAUGAUGUUGGACAUCUGGGGCAACCUUCCUAGAAAUUGUAGUGUAUUUUAUAAUCUCAUACACCAAUAGUGAUAUUUCUUGGAAAAUGUGGCUUCUUUUCUUCUUCUUUUUUUCUUUUUUUUCAAUUAAUCACAAAGGUGAUCCAAUGGUCACGCCUUUAGUUGUUUAGAAACCAAACUUUGGUUCCACAUUGCCCUUGGCUUUUAGUCCAAGUAGUAGGUGGUAGCCACAGCCAUAUAUGAUAGUGUUUUCCACUCCCAAGAUUCCAUGAUAUCCCUCUGGUUAUCUAUUCUUAAUCCUAGUAACAAAUAUUGUUAUGAGCAUAUGGUUCUACACCUCAUGCUCAUAUACUUUAUUGAAUUUAACGUGAUUGUCGAAUAAAGGUGCGACAAGUCCAUAUUUUUUUUUAUAAAAAACAAAUGAUUACGAAGACUCUUAUAACAAAAAAAGUUAGAAAAUUUUUAUAAUCCCUAUAAUUUUGUACAUAUCUAAUCCUUAAGAUUAUGAUCAAUCAAGAUUAACAUAAUCAUCAAUGGGUGAGUCAGCUGAAUUUUACUCAUUUACCACUUUGAUUAUUAAUUAUUAAAAGAUUAUAAAUCAAUUUACUCUACCCUUUCUCGCUAUUCUAAGAUUACAUCCGCAUUCAUGAAGGAAGAAAAAAAACAAAGUUGGUGCUCCUUUUAACUUAAAAACCCCAUGAUUAACAAGCAUUGGACAUUGUGCUCAUUUGACCUAGAUGUACCAAUCUAAUGGUUGAAAAUCAAUUUAAUCAAUGCUUCUUAUUAUUUCAUAUCUAACUUAUAUAUUUGUACAUCCUUCCCUAAAAUAUAAACAAUCAUAAAUCACUCAUAAUAAAAGAGUGUAAAAAUCUAUAUAGAUGAUAAAUUGUUGCAUGUGGAUAAUGUUAGGUUCAAUUUAAGUUGAACUCUCAAGGCUUGAACUCACGCCAACUAUGCAAAUUUAGAUGGAAUUAGGACUUUUUAAGUCCAAUUUAAAUUCAAUUGUCUUGAUUCUAUUUAUUUAUUGAUCAUACUCUGAUAUGAUUUGUUUCAUAUUAAAUGUCAGAUUUUUUUUCUUGCCUGUUAGGUCCAACUAGGAGGUGGAGUCACUGCUAAGGUCCUCUCCUUCUCUCUCUCUCUCUCUCUCUCUCUCUCUCUCUCUCUCUCUCUCUCUCUCUCUCUCUCUCUCUCCAUCCAUAAACCUUUGAUUGAUUAAAAAUAUACAAAACAAUAAUGGUGUUCCCCACUAUCCAAAGAUAUCUCUUUGGAACAAACAUGUAUUCAACAAUUAUACAAAACAAUAAUUGUUUCCAUUUCAUAUUUAAUUCAUGCAUGUUAUAUAUAUUGAAGAUUCUAAAAUAAAGACCAGGCAUUUCCAAUAAAGACUAUAUUGCAGUGCAUUUCAUAUACAUGAAACAAAAACUACUCUCUUUUACCUUCUACUUGAUUUCUCUCAUUCACCACCCACUUCUCUUCUCUUUGUGAAGUUUCUACUUGAUUUCUCUCAAUUCACCCACUUCUCUUCUCUUUUGCCAAGCUUCUACUCGAUUUCUCUCAAUUCACCCACUUCUCUUCUCUUUGCUAAGCUUCUACUUGAUUUCUCAUUCACCCACUUCUCUUCUCUUUGUGAAGCUUCUACUUGAUUUCUCUCAUUCACCCACUUCUCUUCUCUUUGUGAUACUUCUACUUGAUUUAUCUCAAUUCACCCACUUCUCUUCUCUUUGCGAAGCUUCUACUUGAUUUCUCUCAUUCACCCACUUCUCUUCUCUUUGCGAAGCAAAGACAUGGCUCUAGUUGGAGAGGCAUUGCUCACAGCUUCUAUUCAAGUUUUGUUGGAAAAGAUGGCUUCUCCCGAGGUCCUGAGCUUCUUCGGGGGACAGAAACUCAAUGCUGCACUCUUGAAUAAGUUGAAGAUCACAUUGCUCACUGUCCAUGCAGUCCUCAAUGAUGCGGAGGUGAAGCAGAGUGAGAAUCCAGCAAUCAAAGAGUGGCUCCACGAACUUAAAGAUGCUGCCUACGACGCGGAGGACUUGUUAGAAGAGAUUGCUACAGAAGCUCUUCGGUGCACGAAGGAGUCUGACUCCCAAACUAGUGGAACUCUGGUAUGGAACGCCAUCUCGACCUCUCUUAAUCCAUUUGGUGACGGGGUGGAGUCCAGGGUUGAGGAGAUAUUUGAUAGAUUAGAAUUUCUUGCUCAAAAAAAAGAUGCUCUUGGGUUGAAAGAAGUUGUUGGUAAGAAACUAGCAAAAAGAUGGCCGUCCACUUCUGUGGUGGAUGAAUCUGGUAUUUAUGGCAGGGAGGGUAGUAAAGAGGAGAUAAUUGACAUGUUGCUCUCAGACAAUGCAAGUGGCCAUGUCAAAACUGUGAUAGCUAUAGUUGGCAUGGGCGGCAUUGGGAAGACCGCCCUAGCACAACUUUUGUAUAAUGAUGAAAGGGUAAAAUCAUAUUUUGAUAUGAAAGCUUGGGUCUGUGUAUCUGAAGAAUUUGAUCUUUUCAAGAUAACGAAAACAAUUCUUGAGGCCAUUAAUGGAGCCGCUUUUAGUUGUACUCGUGAUGUAAAUGACUUGAAUCUGCUUCAAGUGGAGCUAAGAGAGUCCCUUAUUGGGAGGAAAAUUCUAAUAGUUCUGGAUGACGUCUGGAAUGAGAGCUACAAUAACUGGGACAUGCUACAAACUCCGCUUAAAGUUGGAGCAAGUGAUAGUAAGUUUAUUGUAACCACACGCAAUGCAAAUGUUGCAUUAACCAUGCGUGCGCAUCACACUCAUCAUCUCGAGCAACUAUGCUUUGAAGAUAGUUGGCGGCUAUUCACAAAACAUGCAUUUGAAAAUGAAGAUCCUGGUGCACAUCCAAAACUGGAGGCCAUUGCAAAAGAAAUCGUGCAAAAGUGCCAGGGCUUGCCUUUGUCCAUCAAAACACUUGGGGGUCUUUUGCACUAUAAGAUGGAUGAAAAAGAAUGGGAUAACAUAUUGAGGAGUGAAAUGUGGGAUUUGCCGAGUGAUGAACUUCUUCCAACUCUGCGGUUAAGCUAUUAUCAUCUCCCCUCAAAUUUGAAGCGAUGCUUCGCGUAUUGUGCAAUUUUUCCUAAGGGCUAUCAGUUCCGAAAGAGGGGGUUGAUUUUAUCGUGGAUGGCAGAAGGUUUUCUGCAACAACCAAAAAGCAAGAAAAGAAUGGAAGAGAUAGGGGACUGGUACUUUCAUGAAUUAUUGACAAGGUCAUUUUUUCAUAAAUCGAGUAGCAGAGACUCGUGUUUUGAAAUGCAUGACCUUAUAAAUGACAUGGCUCAACAUGUAUCUGGAGAUUUUUGUACUCGAUGUUCGGAAGAUAAGAUGAAUGAUGUGUAUAAGAAGACUCGCCACUUCUCAUACCUUGUAAGUGAAUAUGAUUCCUUUGAAAAAUUUGAGACUCUUGUUGAAGUUAAAUGUCUCAGAACCUUCUUCAAAUUGCAACCACUAUUCAUGCAGUCUUGCUUAAGUAAUAGGGUUUUACAUGAUGUGAUACCAAAUAUUAGAUGCCUCCGUGUUUUGUCCUUGUGUGGUUAUUGGAUUGUUGAUUUGCCUGAUUCAAUGGGCAAUUUAAAAUGUUUACGUCUUUUGAACCUUUCUCACACACCUAUCAAAAGGUUACCAGAAUCAGUGUGUAGUUUGUAUAAUUUACAAAUAAUUCUACUCUCUAAUUGUCGUUGUCUCUGUGAGUUGCCUCGUGGAUUGACGAAAUUGAUUAACCUACGUUAUCUUCGUAUUCGUGAUUCUGGAAUAAAAGAGAUGCCUGAUCAUAUUGGUCAAUUGAGAAAUUUACAAGAAUUGAGCAGAUUUAUUGUGGGUCAAACAAGUGGUCGUAGGAUUGGAGAGCUCAGGGGGCUUUCAGAAAUUAGAGGGAGGCUACACAUUUCAGAACUCCAGAAUGUGGUUUGUGGUAUGGAUGCCUUAGAGGCAAAUUUGAAGGAUAAGAAGUAUGUUGAUGAUUUGGUGCUGGAGUGGAAGAGCAACUCUGAUGUUCUACAAAAUGGAAUUGACAUAGUCAACAACUUGCAACCGCAUGAAAAUGUCCAGAGGCUUACCGUUGACUCCUACGGGGGUACAAGAUUCCCCGAUUGGUUAGGAGAUCAUUUGUUCUUAAAUAUGGUGUUCCUAAAUCUCAAGAAUUGUCAACAUUGCUCUUCUUUGCCGUCACUCGGCCAGCUGUCCUCGCUUAAGGACCUUUAUAUCUCAGGGGUGCAUGGCAUAGAGAGAGUUGGUACUGAUUUCUAUGUCAAUAAUUCUUCCUCAGUAAAGCCCUUCACAUCCCUGGAAACUCUCGUUAUUGAGAAGAUGAGACAGUGGAAGGAAUGGGUAUCUUUCGGAGGAGGCGAAGGUGGAGCAUUCCCUCAUCUGCAGGUGCUCUGCAUAAGGCACUGCCCCAACCUCACUGGAGAAGUACCCUGCCAACUUCCUUCCUUGACGAAACUUGAGAUUUGUGGAUGUCAGCAGCUUGUGGCUUCAGUUGCAAGGGUUUCAGCCAUUCGAGAAUUGAAGAUACUCAAUUGUGGUCAGGUUCUGUUUGGAAGCCCGCCUUAUGACUUCACUCAUCUUCAAACUUUAGAAAUUGAAAUUUCAGACAUCUCACAGUGGAAGGAACUACCUCAGGGAUUGCGGGGGCUCACAAUUCUAAAAUGCUUCUCUGUGGAGUCUCUACUAGAGGGAAUAAUGCAAAACAACAGUUGUCUUCAACACUUGACUCUCAAAUGUUGUUGCCUUUCCAGAUCCUUGUGCAGAUGUUGUUUACCCACUGCAUUGAAAUCAAUAAGCAUAAGUAGGUGUAGGAGACUACAUUUCCUCCUGCCUGAGUUCCUAAAAUGCCACCAUCCCUUCCUUGAACGAUUGUGUAUUGAAGGUGGUUACUGUAGAUCUAUCUCAGCCUUCUCAUUUGGCAUCUUCCCUAAGUUGACUCGUCUUGAAAUCAAUGGUAUUGAGGGGCUUGAAUCCCUCUCCAUUUCGACUUCAGAGGGAUCUCUCCCAGCUCUUGAUAUUCUAAAAAUCCAUAACUGCCACGAUCUCGUAUCUAUUGAGUUUCCAACUUUCGAGUUGACACACUAUGAGAGCAUUCAUUGCAGGAAGCUCAAGUCGUUGAUGUGCUCCCUCGGCUCUUUUGAGAAACUAAUUUUACGAGACUGUCCCCUAUUGUUGUUUCCAGUUCGAGGUUCUGUGUCCAGCAUAAAUUCACUUAGAAUUGACGAGUGCGACAAACUCACACCCCAGGUGGAGUGGGGCUUGCAAGGGCUGGCUUCUCUUGCACAAUUCAGCAUUAGAUGUGGAUGCCAAGACUUGGUGUCGUUUCCAAAGGAAGGCCUGCUGCCCUCAACUCUCACCUCUCUUGUAAUUGAAAGUCUUCCAAAUCUCAAGUCUCUGGAUGGCAAGGGGCUUCAACUGCUUACCUCUCUUCAAAAAUUACACAUCGAUGAUUGUCAGAAUCUUCAAUCCCUGCCAAAAGAGGGGCUUCCCAUCUCCAUUUCUUUUCUAAAAAUUAGCAACUGUCCCCUGCUGAAAAAUCGAUGCCAAUUCUGGAAAGGGGAAGAUUGGCAGCGUAUAGCUCACAUUCCACGCAUUGUGGUGGACGACCAAGUUCUGUAAUGAAGGUACUUAUUCUGUCCUAUAAAUGAUUUCCUUCAAAAGAAAGUAGGUUGUGAUUGAAGCUUUCUAGUCAUAAUAAUAAUAUCUUGUAUUAUUUGUCACUUUCCUGUGCUGAAAAAAUAUUACACCAAUUUAUGUCAUGGCAGGCCUAAAAGCAUUUUUCUCUGGAAAACUGACAUGCUUAAAUACCAAUUUUAUUUUGAUCCAUAAUAAAUAGGAAAAAUAUUCUUUAAAUUUUCUAAUUAUUAUAACAAUUUCUCGCUUUCUUUCAGAUUAUCUGUAUGUCUUGACUCUGGCACUGAUUCAACAUGUGGUCGUGAGGAAUAUUUUAUGACUCCCUUGCUUAAUUAGCGCCUUGAAAAAAUGAUGCUUAAAAGGCAAGCAGCUCUUCAGGUCUGAUUUCGUAAAAUGAGUAAUUUUGUGGACAUUGAGUUUGUUUUCACUGGCUAAUUUGUUGAACUGUCAUGGCAGGCCUUCGAUCCUAGUUUUCUCAACAAAUUCAAGCUGCCUAGAAAUGAUCCUUCCAAUGGGACCAUUUUUUGCUGUGAGUUCAGAGUCAUGAUUCUCUUUCUGGAAGAAAGUGGCAGAGAUUUUUUUCCCAUCCCAAGACUCAUGAGUUGAUACUCCCCUCGAGGAACUACAGAAAGCUUGACUCUGUUGGAGAGUAAAGUAUGUGGCAUGCUCUAUGAUUCCAAUUAGUAAGACAUUUCAAUUGCUUUGGUUUACCUUUCUCAGCUACAAAUUACAAUAUUCAUAAUCUCAUAUGCAUUAAUUCUUCAGGUUCUGAGGCUGCAUCUGUGUUGAUAUCUUAGUUCUUCUCUAGAAACAACAGGUAUAUUUUGAUUCGUACUUUUCAUAAGCUGACACAUUGUGGAGUUCCAUGAUUUUCAAAACGAGAUAAACCUAAUACUAAAUUAUACUGAAGCUAAAACAAAAAUCUUACUGCCUGAGGUUAUGUCUUUGAUGAAUUUUAUUCACUAUGUUCAUACAGCCUCCCGGUGACCUAGACUUUAGCAUGUGCCUUAGUGCACACAUUGUUUUCAUCUCUUUCAGCUUUAAUUGAUCUGCAGAUGUUCAGUGUAGGCACCGCUCAUCUCCUACUCAUUUACAUGAUUGCCAUGGACCUUUGUGCUUUACUUUGUUAAUGGUAAGGUAAUCAUAAUAGUACUACAUUAGUUGAGCAUGGCUGCAACCAUUUUCAUAUUCAGGCUUUUCUUGUGCUUACAAAUGAUAAUGUGAGCUUGAAUUUUCUGUUUUUAAAUUUGUGAUUCUGAGGCAGAUAUUUGGAGAAAAGAGAAGGCAAACCAUAUUCAAAGUCAUAGCACUGCAGAGUAUGCUUUUGUUCCACCAAGUCCAAGUCAAUUGAGUUGAAUCUUAUUAAUACUUCUAGGACACAGGUUCAAAUCAGUUGAUUUUCCAAACCUGAUGACAGCAUCAAAUUCUGCUGAUUACCAUGUGACCAUUUUUAUUUUCAGAUGGUGGUAUUUUGAAUCUUCAGAGCAGUUCCAGGAGGAAGCUUUGCCAAAGCUUCCCUGUGCAAUAUAUGGGCCUUGGUUGCAAGUGAGAUUUGAGGAUUUUAUUUUAUCUUGGAAGACCUCAACCGAUUGUUUUGAGUUUUGAGCUUUGAUCUUUUACUUCCAAGUAUGUGCAAAGAAGAAAGAAAGCAACAACAAAGAUUGGUUUGCCGAAGUUUUAUAUGGAAUGAGACCCCAAUGAAAAAAAUUGUAAUUAUUGGUUUUUCAGCCUUGAACAGUAUAGUUUUGUUUCCCAUUUUGUUCUUUGAGCAAUGUAUUUGUAGAAUCAUACAUUUUGAAGUUACUACUGAUUUUGUGUAUAUACAUACAUAUAAAUGAUGUUCUCUUCUUCAUUCAUAUGGCAUUUGCUUCUUUGGUAUAUGCCGAAAAGUUACAAGUUUGCUCUAGGGUUUUACUUGAAGUGAGGUUAGAUAUGGUUUUUUUUUUUUUUUUUUUGGUGCAUAUAAGAGUUUACAUCAUAGGCAAAUCACUUCCAAUCCAGCCUCUUUUAACAUUUUUGGUUCCUUUCAUCCUCCUCAAUGUGACUUUGGUGCAAGUUGUCUUGAUAUAAAUGUUUGGAGUUUAAGCUUUUGGGUCAAUUUAAUCUUUAACUCAGCAUCAAAGUCUUUGUUUUCAAGAUUUCCUGGUGCUCAUAAGAUGUUUAAAUUGAUACCCAAGUGGAAUUCUAGGACAAAUAUAUAUAUAUAUAUAUAUAUAUAUAUAUAUAUAUAUGUAAAUCAAAAAAGAAAAAGAAAACAUAUAUACCAAGUAUCAAGUAUCAGCGCACUUCAAAUGAUUUUCUAAAUUUUUAAUUUUUUUUUUCAAAUACUUAACUUUAAAAAAAAUUAAAUAAAUAACACUUUAAAAAGUGCUUUUAAUUCUAAUAGAAUCACUUUUAAACGAAUUUGGAUAUAAAUCAAACAAGUUGAUAUUUAGUGCAUCUAAGGCCCUUUCAGUAAUGUUUUUAAAAAUAAUUCUUUUACAGCUUUUGAAAAUAGUUUUUAAAAACGGUUCAUAAUUAUUUUUAGUAUAAAAAACAGUUUUAUUAGUUUAUUAUUCAUAAAGAUAUCAUAUACUUAUCUACUAUGUAAAAGUUUUUAUUACCAAUUCAUGAAUAAGAUCAUAAACCCAUCCACAUUUACCCACUUUUCCAUUCCCCACCCAUGGAGAAGAAGAAAAAGGAAAAUUUUGGGUUCCCCAUGGAACAACACCAAAUUGAGGUAUAUGCAUGGAUGAAAAUUUCGCUAAAUAUUGAUAUAUUGCAUAUCGGGGGAUAUGGAAAUAUCGACUAGGCAAAAUUUCAGGAAAAAUCGCUGAAAAUCGCCAAUAUUUCCCUAUAUAUUGGUGAUUUGGUGAUAUUUCGCCGAUUUUCCCAAUUUUUUCAAGUGGUCAAUGCUGGUCAACACGCGUUACAGUAAAAGCUUAAACUUGUUGUUGAGGGGACUUGAACCCCAAACAAAAGGCUUAAAUUUGCUAUUGAAGGGACUUGAACCCCAAACAAAAGGCUUACCUGAAGCUUGGCCUACCCUUGUUUAAUAUAUUGCACCAAACAUGUUUAUAUUGAAAUUCAUCAAAUAAAAAAAAAUAUUAAAAGAAUAUUUUAGAGAACAAAAUAAUUAUAAUUAUUUUAUAAUUAAAUAAAAAAUUUCAUUUAAUUGAUUACCCAAAAUAUAAAAGUUAUCAUGAUAAUUUUCUUCAUAACGUUUUUAAUAUCAUUAAUAGAUUAAUUAAAUAUUAAAAAAUUAUAUAUAUAUUCUAUAUCAUUUAAUAAAAUGAAUCAUAAUUUUAAUGAUAAAUAUAUUUUAAAAUUAAACAUAUUAUAAUCAAUAUCACAAUAUUAUUAUGAUAUAAUAUUUGAUGUAAUUUAAUAAUAAAUAUACACUUAUAAAAUUCAUAUAUUUUUAUCAAUACAUAGAAUAUUAUUAUCAAAUAUGAUAAAUCAUAUUAUGCAUGCAUCAAAUUCUUCAACAAAACAACUUUAAAAUAUCUAUUAUAUUUCUAAUUAUAUUUGUAUAAGGUUUUUCUUACAUUUCUAUGAAUUUUGAUCAAUUUUAGGUCUACCGAUAUUUUUUUCCAAUAUAUCUAUAAAAUCGAAGUACCGAUAUAUUCGUGAUUAUUGAUAUUUUCAUCCUUGGAUAUAUGCAAGCUUUCAAUGAUGGGUGUGUUAAUUUAGAUCUUUCAAUCCAAUGGCCCAAAAUAAACUUGGAAUCUGGUUGUGUUUUGCUCCAUUAAGGCACUACAAUGAAUUCCAUGAUUAAGAUUUUGUUACAUGUUGUGGUUUGGAUCCAUAUACCCAUUUGGACCCAAAACCCUAAUUUCAGUUAUUUUUUAUGAAAUAUUGAAUCUCACUUCAUUAGGGUUUAAUAUGUAAACAAGUAACUGAUAAAAAAUUACCACAAAGUGACAAAGUAAAACUCUGUAAAAAGGGUCUUCACAUAUGAAAAUUUAAUACUAAAUCCACUUAUUGAUGCUUUUGGUCAUAAUGCCUAUAGAAAACUUAAAAGCGAGCUAGAAUGUAAAAGUAUAAGUGAAGAUGCAAAAAAAUAUAAUAUUUUCUAAUUUUUGUUAAAUCAAUCUAUGGACCCCGCAUUUCGGCUCAUGCGUUUUCCACUCGAUGGCUAGCUCGAUUUUAAUUUGAAAAAUGAUUUUUAUUGAUUAAGAAAAUGACUUGGAGUCGCCACUUAUUUUUGUUUUAUUUUUAAAGGGUAAACAAAAUAAGAAAGAAGAACCCUAAGUGUGACUCCUUAGUUUGGAAAAGGUGGUCUGUGAAAAAUCAGAUCGGGCUCGGGGGUCAGGUUACUUAUCAGGAAGGUUCGGUAAAGACCGUAGCACCCUUCUAAGUCCUAAAGUUGGGUCUCUACUAAUAAAAUGAAGUUGACGUGGCAAUCAAUAGGAAAAUCAAUGGGUACUCAAACCGAUUAAGCGCAUAUGGAAAUCAAAACAUGCAAUAGAGAAUGACCAGAAUAGGAGUAGAUGCAUACCUGGGCCACGAACGAGCAAUGCGCUAUCAUAAAAAUGGGGUUAGUGCACAAUAUAGAGCACGAAACACGUCACAUGCAUCACCAAACGGAAAUUAAAAUUGUUUGAAGGAAAAUUGGAUUUUCGAAAUUCAUUUGAAAAUUGGAGUCUUAGAGGUUAUUUGGAAAUUGGAGUUUUAAAAAUUAUUUGAUGAGAAUUUUAGAAAUUGAAUUUGAAAGAAAUUGGGAUUUUGAGGAAUUAUUAGAAAGUUCGGGAUUUUUAAGGAAAACUAAGUUACGAAAAUUGGGGCUUUGGGAAUUAAAUUUUGAAAGAAAUCAAAAUUGUAAGUUAUUUGAGAAGUAGAGAUUAUGAAAGUCGAUUUAUAUAUAUAAAAAAAAAAAAAAAGUGGCAAUCUUGAAAAUCAUUCAAAGGCAGAAUUUAUAGAAAUAAUGAAUAAAGUAAUAGUGAUAAUGAUAAUAAUAAGUAGCGGGAUAAAUACGGGGAUUGGAGCAUGGGAAAAUGGAAAUUAAGUUUGGAGAUAGGACAAUUGGAAUUUCAGAUAACUAAACUUAGAAAUCGGAAUUUUGAAGAAUUAGACUUUAAUGAUUGAGAUUUUUAAGAGAAAUAAAUAGGUAAAUAUGGGAUAAUGCUACUAAUUAAUCAAAGCGAUAUUGGAACGGAUGACAGUGAAUAGUGAGAUUUGUGAGAUUAAAAAUUAAAUUUUGAAAGAUUGAGAUUUUUAAAAGAUACAAAUAAAUAAAUAUAGAAUAACAUUACUAGUUAAUCAAAAACGAUAUUCGGACGGGUGAAAGGGGAUAGUGAGAUUCGUGAGAUUAAAAAUUAAAUUAGGGAGUCAGGUUUUUGAAGAAUUGGACUUUGAAUAAAUAAAUAAAUAAAUAAAUAUAGGAUGACAAUUCUGCUUAAGGAAAAUAACAUUUAAAUGAAUAAAGAAGAAUAGUGGAAUUUUUAGGGUUGAAAAUUAAGUUAGGACAUCGGAUUUUUGAAGGGUUAGACUUUAAAUAACUAGAUAAAAACGGGAUUGUAAUUCUAAUUGAUGAAAAUAAGACUUAAACGAAUUAUUGAAAAAUUAAGUUAAGGCGGGGGAUUUUCGAAGGAUUAGACUUUAAAUAAGUAAAUGAAUAUGGGAUACUAAUUCUAAUUAAAGAAAAUAACAUUUAGACAAAUAGUAGAAUUUUAGGAUUGAAAAUUAAAUUAUGACAUUGGAUCUUUUUAAAGGAUUGGAUUUUGGAUAAAUAAACUAAUAUAGGAUGAUGAUACUAAUUAACGAAAAUAAUCAUUUAAACCGAAUAAAAUGAAUAGUGGAAUUUUUAGGGGAUUGAAAAUUAAGUUAGGACAUUAGGUUUCUGAAGGAUUGGAUUUUAAAUUAGUAAACCCGUAUAGGAUGAUAAUACUAAUUAACGAAAAUAACAUUUAAACGGAAUAAAAAGAAUAGUGGAAUUUUUAGGGGUUUGAAAAUUAAGUUAGGACAUCGGAUCUCUGAAGGAUUGGAUUUUAAAUUAGUAAACUCGUAUAGAAUGAUAAUACUAAUUAACGAAAAUAACAUUUAAACGGAAUAAAAAGAAUAGUGGAAUCUUUAGGGGUUUGAAAAUUAAGUUAGGACAUCGGAUCUCUGAAGGAUUGGAUUUUAAAUUAGUAAACUCGUAUAGGAUGAUAAUACUAAUUAACGAAAAUAACAUUUAAACGGAAUAAAAAGAAUAGUGGAAUUUUUAGGGGUUUGAAAAUUAAGUUGGGACAUUGAAUUUUUGAAGAGUUGGACCUUAAAUGAAUAAAAAACACAAGGGAUAAGAAUUCUAGUUAACGAAAAUAACAUUUAGGCGAAUAAUAGAAUUUCUAAGGUUGAAAGUUAAAUUGAGAUUUUUGAAAGAUUGGACUUUAAAUAAAUAUGGGAUGAUGAUUCUAAUUGAUAAAAAUGAAAUUUAAACGAAUUGUAGAAUUUUUAGGAUUGAAAAAUUAAAUUAAAAUAUGGAAUGUUCGAAGGAUUAGACUUUAAAUAACUAAAUAAAUACGGGAUUGUAACUCUAAGUGAUGAAAAUAAGAUUGAGUUGAAUUGUAGAGUUUUUAUGAUUUGAAAGAUUAAAUUAAAACAUGGAAUGUUUGAAGGAUUAAACUUUAAAUAACUAGAUAAAUAUAUGAUAAUAAUUCUAAUUGACGUAAAUGAGAUUUAAAUGACUUAUGGAGGGAUUAAAUUAAGACAUGGGAUUUUUAAAAGGGUUAGACUUUAAAUAACUAUAUAUGUAUGAGAUAAUGAUUCUAUUUGAUGAAAAUAAGAUUCAAACGAACUAUUGAAAAAUUAAAUUGAGGCAUAGGAUUUUUGAGGGAUUUAGACUUUAAAUGACUAGGCAAGUAUGGGAUCAUAAUAUUCCAUUUAUAAAAAUAAGAUUUAAGCAAAUAUUUGAAGAAGUAAAUUAAAACAAGGGAUUUGUGAAAGAUUGGUAUAGGGCCCUUCAUCCACACGAACUGGGCCUGGGCUGCAACUCAAAUCCAAGCCCAAAGUCUUCAUGAGUAAGCCCAAUACAAAUAUCCAUCACAAACUUGGGCCUAGUGCCCCAACUCAAGCCCAAGUCCAAAGAUUUCAAUGGGCAAGCCCAAGACACCCAAUGCCUUCACAAACUUGGGCCUUUCAUCUGGGUCCAACCCUCUAAAGCCCAAAUCAACUCUCAUAUCUCUUUGGGCCAUUCAAUCACAUGUUCUUCUCCACUUCAGGUGACGACGACGGAGGAACUGGAGAUGAGAGGCAUCGCCGGGGGCCCUCGAAGCUGGUCCAAGCUGCCAACGCUCCGCGCUGCCUCGCCACAGCGUCGUGCGUGCACACUGUCCCCUUCGUCGCGUCGAACAGUGCACCACCAUUGCCUGCACCGCCACGGAUCUCAACCGGCUGCCUCCCCGCGAUCUCUUCAUUCGAAUUCGCCGAAAACGACGAUGGAACUUUGACGACUUGGCAACUGGCGCGACAGAGACAUGGAUGGGCUUCUUGACGACACCACUUCCAUGGCGAAUCCGCUUCAAUCUGUGACGAUAGGGUCGAGGUUUGGACGCCGAAAGGAGAAGAAAGUAGAGAGAUAUAGAGAGAGAGAGAGAGAGAGAGAGAGAGAGAGAGAUGCGGCGUGGGUGUGGGCACGUAUGCAUGAGGUUGGAAGGUUGGGUUGCCAGCAGCAGGUUUCGAAGAAGGAAAUGUGGGCAAGAUGGUGAAUACGACUGUGGGUAUAGUGAGGUAUGAGCAUGGAAGGUGAAAGUGUGAGGAUGGAAGGUAUGAAAGGAGCGGGUUAGUGAGAUAAAUAGGUAUUCGAAAGGUGGCUAUGCAUGGUGAAAAUGUGGGGGGUAUGGUGGUGCUAAAAAAAGUGAUAAGCAUGGAGGCAUGAAAGAUGGAUAUGAGGGUAGGUAUAAGGAUAUGUGGGUUUGAUAAAGGACGUAGAGAAAGAAAAGGUGGUGGCUGAUUCAUGGGGUUUGUUGGGUAGAGGAUGUGUGCAUAGGAUUAAUGGAAUGGGUAGUGGGCUGGUUUGAUGAGUAGUAAAAGUGGCCAUGGCUAGGGAGGUGGUGAUGAACGACGAAGGUGUCAUGGCGAGAGUGCUAUGAUAAUCAGCAAUAUCAACAAUCAACAACAAGAAAAUGAUCCAGAAAAUCAAUGAAAUACAACGUGUAAUCCAACCCAAACUGAUAAGCAAUGCAAAGAAAACCCAAAAUGAGAAAGAGAUGAGAAGAAAAUGAAUCAAACGGGGCAAAAGACCCACCUCAAGCUCGCCUGUAGCAGCUUUCUUCCUCCGUGCUCUCCCUCUCCAGUCCGCUCCCGCUCAAGAUCCCCCCCUUUCCUAUAGAUAUCUCAUAUCUUUCUUUUUCCUGUUUGUGUCUUCUUUCCCAAGCCAUUACUGGCUCCACUGUUCUUCCAUCCGUCAGCAGGCAUGGCUUCUCAACUACCUACCUGCAGCUGCAUGUCCAUGCCUAGAGAAGGGAUCAAGCCUCCAACUGGGGGUCCCCUACCCCUUUUAGAAAUACAAUGAAAAGUCAAGAAAAAACAACUCUCGGGCCCUCACCACCAAAGGGGGUCUACACAAUCUUAAUUAGGUAAUUUCCUAUUGCAAAAAACAAACAAACAAACAAACAAAUAAAUAAACUUGAAAUUUUUUGUACUUGCUAUAAAAUAUUUAUUUGUAAGUCUAAAAGUUAGCUCAGUGGAAGCUCUAAACCUACUGGUACGAACAAUUGGAUUACUUAAUUUGAUGGUAUCUUAUUCAUUUAUUUUUUAAAUUAAUCUUUAAAUUUAUUUGUUCUUUCAUUAUUGGUCAUGUUUCUUGGUAAAUAAUGUCGUCCAUUUGUGGCAAUUUUCCUAGAAAUUGCAUUGUAUCUUAUAAUCUCAUACACCAAGAUCAUGUUUGAUUUCCAAAAUAGAGAAAAUAUAGAGGAAAGAAAAUAGAGAAAAAAUAGAAAGAAAUAAGAAGUGAAAGAAAAUAAAAAAAAUAAAUUUAAAAUUAAUAAAUUAUUUUUUAUAUUCUGCUUCAAAUUUAUUUCACUUAAAUAAUUUUAAAAUAUAUAAAUUUUUAUUUAAUUUGAAUUAUAUUUGAUUUUCUUUUAUAUUUUUCAUGAUGAAACUAAAUAUGAGAAAAUAAUUUUUCUUUAACAUUUUUUUUUCUUAAUAAUUUAUGAGAGGAAUUUUUAUAUAUAAAAGUACAAUCAAUUUAAAUUUAAUUUUUUAAAAUACAACAUAUUGGAAAAUAUAACUCUAUGGUACUUUAUGUCAUGUUGGAAGUUGUCUUUUGAAGAGGCACAUUUUACAAUUUUCAUAUUAAUCACACCAUUGAAAAUAAAAAUAUAUUUAUACUAAGGAUAUCUCUUGAAGAAACACCUUUAGUAUAAAAUCCAAAUUUGUGAAAUUAUGGAAGGUAUGUCUUGAAAAGACACCUUUAAUGUAAAUUCAAUUUUUUUUUUCAUGUGGCUAAUAUGAAAAUUGUGGAAGAUGUCUCUUCAAAACACAUAUUCAGUACAAAUUCAAUUUUAUGGAAAUGUGAAAGGUAUCUCUUCAAGAGACAUGUUUAGUAUAAAUUCAGUUUGUGGAGUUAUGGAAGGUGUCUCUUGAAGUGACACUGUGGACCCCGCAUUUCGGCUGCUCAAUGUGUUUCCCACUCGAAGGGCGAGCGCGAUUUUUAUUAUUUUGAAGAAUGGAUUUGUCGAUUAAAAUGACUUGGAGUCGCCACUUAUUUUUGUUUUAUUUUUAAAAGGUAAACAAAAUAAGAAAGAAAAACCCUAAGUGUGACUCCUUAAUUUGGAAAAGACGAUCUGCGAAAAACCGGAUCAGGUUCGGGGGUCAGGUUUCUUGUCGGGAAGGUACGGUAAGGACCGUAGCACCCCUCUAAGCUCCUAAAAUGGGUCUCUACUAAUAAAAUGGAUCAAACGUGGCAAUUAAUUCGGAAACCAAGGAAUACCCGGAACUAUCAUGCACAUGUGAGAAUCAAAGCAUGCAUGUAGAAAUACCAUAAUGGGAAUAAAUAUGUACCUGGUUAGCAAACGGCAACGCGCUAUCACAAAAUAGGGUUAGUGAACAAACACAGGUUGAUUAUAUACAUAUCAUGGAACAUAGCAAAACAAUCAAUCAAUUAGUUAGUCAUGAAUUCACAUAUGUGGGGCCCCCACCAAAGCCCAUUUUAUCUUGCUUGAAUCAAUUCCGAUAACUCCAUUGUUCGGAAUUAUGGAAUUUGAUUCCUUGCUUAUUUCAAAACAUUAAAAAAAAAAACAAAAAAAACAGAGGAAGUAUGAAAAUUGCUUGCCAGAAAUAAAAGUGGCAGCGAAGCUUUAUUAAAAAUGUGAUGUUGGAACCUAAAAAAACUUUAAGGAUGAAGUAUGAGGCGAUUGGGACCAUUUGAAUACCAGGAUUUAGAAGAAGUUACAAAAUGGGAUUCGAGGAGCGAGGUACCCAGGAAAGAUGGCGGCGGAGGAAUUCCGGGUACAAUGGGUGUUUUUCCGGACGCGAUGGGCGUCCGGAGGAAAAUGGCGGCGGAAGAAAUUCCGAGUACAAUGGGCGUUCGGAGGAAAAUGGCGGCGGAAGGAAUUUCGGACUUGAUAGGCGUCCGGAGGAAAAUGGCGGCGGGUGAUUCCGGACGCGAUGGGCGUCUGGAGGAAAAUGGCGGCGGAGGAUUUCGGGUAUAAUGGGCGUCCGGAGGAAAAUGGCGGCGAAAGGAAUUUCGGACGCGAUAGGCGUCCGGAGGAAAAUGGCGGCGGAGGAUUCUGGACGCGAUGAGCGUUCGGAGGAAAAUGGAGGCGGAAGGAAUUCCGGGUACAAAAUGCCGUCCAAGUGUAAUGACAGCGGGGGAAGGUUCCGGAACGUGAGGGUGUCCGGAUGGAAUGGUAGAACGUGGUUAUGAGUAGCAUGAAGGAUAGGUAUGGGUGGUAUGGAUAUGGGGGCUUGGGUGAGUAGUUUUAGUGGGUAUGUGUGGGAAUGAAGGAUGGAAUGCACCCCUGAAAGACUAAGUAAGCGAGGGAGCGAGAUGGAGAAUGAAUGAGAAGAAGAUGGGUGUGGGCAUAUUGGAUAAAACGAUGAAUAAGAAACGAAAAUGGGUAUAGAGAUGCUGAUGAGGGGAGCUUUGCUGCCAUGACAACUACUCCAGAUUUUCUAGGAUCUCUUUCGAGCAGGGAUGAGAAAAUGGAUGCGUACCAUGGACGGAUAUCAAGAAACAGGGGAAGUAGAGAAACAGAGUGUGAAAGAAGACGAAUAAAUAAAGAAAAAUCUCAGAAAAUCCAUUUCAUGAAUCAUCCAUGAAUCUUCUGAGCGGGUGGGUAAAUCAUAUCAAAUGCAACCACCCUCAUGAUUCUCAAGCAUUUCAUAACCACAACAGAAGCAUAUCAAAUUUAAAAGAUGGACAAAUCUACGCAAACGCAGGCAUAUAUAUCAACAAACAGAUCGGUGGCCUUCAACAUCCACCCAAAACAACAUUAUGUUAUGGAAAAUCAAUGAAUAAUGAGGGACGAGGAGAAAAACUGUGUACAUACCUGGUUCCUCAAGCAAAAAGAAAACCGGUCUCAGCUCUCUCAAUGAGUUUCCCUCUCUAAAAGACUCCCAAGUAAAUCAGCUAGGAAAAGUCUCCCUCUCUCCUUUGCUCCCUCUUGGCAAUGGAAGAAAAACCAGAGAAAAAUCUCCUCUUCUCUUUCCCCAAAAAUCCUCCUUUCCCACCAGUUCUCUCCAGCUAAAACUCUCCUCUCGUUUUUCUUCCUAUUCACUGGUCAGCACGCAUGGUUCUCCCAACCACCCUCCUGCUGCACGUCUACAAUCUUGUCCCCUCAAACGAUCUCUGCCGCAACCACCUUUUCUCCCUGCAACACUCCUUUUGCAGCCACCUUUUUUCUCUGCCAUCUGCGCCCCUUAACGGCCUACGGGACCCCCUUCCAAAACGUUUCUCCACGUAUCAAAGUCAUACUGCAGCCUCAAAAAGCGAGGUUGAUUCCUUAUGACCACUAAGGAUGUGACACGUGGCCCGCUAGGAUAGUGACACCUGGCUAAAAUGAGCUGCUGAAAAACGAGCCCCAAAUGGGGGUCUACAGACACCUUUAGUAUAAAUUCAAUUUUUUUCAAUGUGUGACCGAUAUGAAAAUUAUGGAAAGACGUCUCUUAAGAGACACUUUUAAUAUAAAUUUAAUUUUAUGAAAUUGUGGAAAUUUUCUUUUAAAGAUACAGUUUUAGAAUAAAUUCAAUUUUGUAAAAUUGUAGGUGUCUCUUCAAAAGACACCUUUACUAUAAAUUAAAAAAUUUCAAUAUGUGGCUGAUAUGAAAAUUAUGGAAGGUGUCUCUUCAAAAGAUAGCUUCUGACAUGAAAAAAAACUACCAUAAUUCCUUAAUAGUUUCACAAGUACCUUUUUUAAAUUUCUUUUGUUUUUUAUAAUUCAUUGUAGAAGUUUUUUUUUUUUUUAAAAAAAAAAACCCCCUUUCCAAGAACCAAGCAUAGUUUAAAUAAUGUUGAUAAUUUUCUACUGAUUCUCCCCAAACUUUUAUUGGAAACUAACAAAAUGGGGCUUAUUAUAGAAUUUUUAAUCUACCUAUCAUUUUGUUGGUCUUCGAAACCACUUUACAAAAUUAAAAAUAAAAAUAAAAAUAAAAACAAAACAAAAGUAGAGGGAACAUUGAUUUCUAGCUUUUAACAAUAAAAAAAUAAAAUAAAAUAAAAUAAAACCCAACAAUUUCUUAAAGUAGGUUUUGGACCUAAUGAAAUACAUAGCAGUUAAACAAUGUCAAAUGACAUAUGACUAUUUGAAAACAAUGUUAAAGACAUUAGUUUGAUCACUGUGAUUCUUAUUACAGCUAGAAUUUUAUUUAUGUAUUUUUUGUUCGUGUGUCACAUUAUAGAGUCUACCAUUGUGAGAACUACAACCCCUUAAGCUUCAAUACUCAUCUCAAUUUUAUGAAGGUUCUUUUAACUAUUAUUUUGAAUUGGGAUUUGGCCACAACCUAAAUUAACCAAGAAUUGACAAUUGAGACAAACUCAUACUCAAAAUCCAAUUGGUUGAACUAAUUGCACUAUGGAAUGCUCAUAAUGUUGGUUCGGUUCAAUAAUUGAGUCGCUAUAGGUAUCAAACUGAAAACAAACUAACUAAACUAUCAUUGAACCCUUUGGACCAAUUCUAUGGUCUGUGCUGUCGAUUUGGUUUAGCAAUCUAGUCGUGCUGGGUAAUGAAUUGAAAACAAAGUUGGGUUGUCUCUUGACCAGUGAACCCAAUAUAUUAGAAUGUAAAAGGCAAAUGAUAAUUAUGCAUGCGCUACUUUUGUGUUUGUUGUAGUGUUAAAUUAUUUUGAAUGUGUAUUCAUAUGUUAUCAUUUUUAAUAAUUAAAUAUAUUGUACCAAAAUGCAAAAGGCAAAUAAUAAUCAUGUCUCUUGCUACUUUUAUGUUUAUUGUGGAGGUAAAUUAUUUUGAAUGUGUAUUUAUAUGUUAUCAUUUUAUAAUUUAAUAUACUAUUUAUCAAGAUUAAUACAAUAAUGUAAACUUAAUAAUUUUUAAGAUAAUAGAAUAGGAUAAUGUAAUGGAUAAAAUUUUAUUAUUUCAUUCUAGAAUAUAUCAUUGAAAUAGUAAAUCAUAAAUAUUACAUAUUCAUACUAUUUAAUAAAUAUACAAAUAUGGAAAUGAUAUAUGCUGGCAAUUUUGUUUCUUUUAAUGUUUGACCUUAUAAGUCUUUUUAGAUAGUGACUUACUCUUCAUUGAAGAUCAAGAGUUGUUGUUCGUCCAAUUAGGAAGUCAUAGUUAUGUUUAAAAAUGUUUGGCUUAUGGCAAGUUAGGCUCUCAAGAGGUAUAAAGAGAAACAAUGCCUUCUUAAUUAAAGAAAAAUGAUUUUUUAUGAAUAUUGAAAGAAAUAGGGGAUGCUCAAGUGGAAAGCAACACUCAAGCACUAGGAUCGCUCAAUUGCUAAGCAUUGUUUAAGUGCCCAAGGUGCUCAAACGAUGGUUAACUAUGCCCAAGGCGCUCAAGAUUUUUCUAUUGAGAUUUGGAAGAUAUUUUUGAGAAUUUCAUGCAAAUCUCAUUUGGAAACCUUAUGAUACCGAAUCUCUUCGGGAUAUUUGCCUAUAAAUAUCUCAUUAUAACCCUUCUAGGGUUAAAUAUUGGAGAGAUUUCGAAGAAGUCUCCUUGAGAGAAAGCAUAAUGAGCCACACCAUUCUCAAUCUCUCAUUCGAAGGAUUCAAGCAUUGAAUCUUAGGUUGAAGACCUUCAUCUCUUCAACAAGGUUGAAGAGUAUUUAUUGAAGCAAUCAAAAGUUGCUACAUCGCGAAUGUGGAUCAAGUUGUAGUUACUUGAAACUAAGUCUUUAGAGUAAAGUGGUCAAGUAAAUUUGUAUAACUUGAUCUCAAUAGUGGAUUUAGAUUAACAGUCCUAAACCUCAUGAUUUUUUAUAUCCACGGUUAGUGUGGGGGGUUUUCCACAUAAACAUCCUUAUGCUUGAUUGCAUAUCUUUAUUUUCUUGUUUGCAUUGCCUAUUAUGGAAAGAUUUGAUAAUUUUUAACUACUCGUAGGGAAAAGUUAGUUAUAAUAUAAAAAUAUUUAUUUAAAAUUUUUUAAUUACACCCAUUCACCCUCCUUCCCUCCCCUAGGUGUUACCCUAUUGAACUUCAGUUUUUCAAUUGGUAUCAGAGUGAGAUAAAAAUUGAUCUUUUACUAAUCAUAUUGAUUAAAAAUCAAAAUUUUAUUGAUAUUUCUGGAUAAAGAUCAAAAUUUUAUUAAUUACAUAGAAUAAAUUUUUAUUGAUCUUGUAAGUCCAAUAAGGAACAAUCAAAAUCUACGGCUUCUCUAAAUAGUCCACCUUACUUCGAUGGCAGUAACUAUUCUCAUUGAAAAGCCUAGAUCAAGUUUUUUCUUAAAAUGCAAGGUUAAUGGAUAUGGAAUUCAAUCAAAUAUGAAUAAGGACCCCCAUUGAUUAUUGAUGUCCAUGGAAGAUCAAUUGAAGAAUUAAAACCUAAACAAGCUAGAUUGGGGCAAAGCCAAUAAUGAAGGGAGUGAAGUCAAUGCUAGGACUUUAUUUAGUAUCUUUAAUGGAGUUUGUCCAUAUGAGUUUCACAAGAUAGCAAAUUUUACUCGUGGUAAGGAAGCAUGGGAUAUUCUUCAAGUCACCUAUGAAGGUACGUCCGUUGUUAAAAUUUCUAAAUUGUAAAUGCUUACUACUAAGUUUGAGAAUAUUAGGAUGCAUGAAAACCAUAACUUUUUUUUUUUAUGAACUAAGUGAUAUAAUUAAUUCUUCAUUUAACCUUGGAGAACCUGUUCUAGGUUCAAAGGUAGUAAGAAAAAUAUCAAGAUCCCUCUUAGAGAGAUUUAAACCUAAAGUUAUAGCCAUAGAGGAGAGUAAGGACAUUGAUUCGAUGAGAGUUGACAAACUUGUUGGCUCCAUACAGACAUAUGAGAUGACCUACCUAAUUCUCAAAGGCCUAAAGACUCUCUGCCUUUAAGGUUUUUGAGAAUAAGGAAAAAGAUACUGAAAUGACAUAUAAUAUAGCUAGGGAUAAAUUGGCUUAUAUGGCUAAAAGAAUUAAAAAGGUCAUGAAAUUCAAUAAAAAGUUUUUCAAAAAUCAAGAAUCUGGAAAAGAAAAAAGACCUAAUGAUAAAUCUUCUAAAGAAAAUGAUAAAGGUUCCUCCAAAGGUAAGAAAGUAGAAUGCUUUAACUGUGGUGGUCUAAGACAUUUUACCAUUGAUUGUCCUAGCCCUAAAAAUAUAAAAAAGUCUAUGUAGGCCACAUGGAGUGACAUUGAUUUUGAAGAAAGUGGUUUCACAACUUCUGAAGAUGCAAGGUAUGAUCCUAAUGACUUUUUAGCCUUUGUGGCAUCUAUGGAAUCUAUGCAUGAUAGUGAAUGUGAUAGUGAUAGUGAUGAUGAAUUCACAGAUGAUCAAAAGCUGUUUUUUUUUAAAUAACUUUGUUGUUAAACAUGAAAAACUAAUUAAGAAUUAUUUAAGAGACCAUGAUAUUCCUGAAGCUCACAAAACUAAGGUUGAUGUGCUAAACGAACAGAGUAUUAAUCUUCUUGAAAAAACAAAAAAUAGAUUUCUUGAGUUUGAACAUCAUUAUUUUCUUAACAAGAAUAAUGCUCUCUCAUUCAAGAGAUGAAAAGUAAUAAGUCCUCUUCAUCUACAAAUGAGAUCUUUCAACCUGGAACUAAAGUGUUUAAUGAAAUACUUGAUAAAUGUAAAACCUAUGGUAAUAAAAGAGGUUUGGGAUACAUUAAUAAAGAUGAAACUCUUUUUAGUGGAGAAACAAUUUUCGUAAAAGAAAACAAAGAAACCCUUAACCAAGUUGGAUCUCUUAUCCUUACAUUACUAUGCACACACUAAGAAAUAGGAUACACUCAAUAUAGGUGCUACAGUAAGUUCCUAGAGAGAUUUGAAUCUCAAAUGAGUAGGCUAAUGAAUGACUUUAAUUCCCUUGAAAAUAACAUGUUUCAAUAAUGGGAAAGGGAAUAAACCUAAUCAAAAGCCUAGAAAUCAACAAAUCUUCUCUAAGUCAUCACCUAGGAUUAAACAAGUUUGGAUGAGAAAAGAUUGGGAUAAAUGUUAGGUUGUCUUCACUACUCUUAAAGUUACGUCUUCUAGUGAGUGGUACUUCUAUAGUGGCUGCUCUAGACACAUGAUAGGAGAUAAGUCAUUUUUCACUUCUCUUGAGGAUUAUAAUGGUGGCACAGUUACCUUUGGGGGUGGAAGCUUAGCUCAUGUGAAAAGAAAGAAAAGUAUAUCUAUCCUAAUGUCCUAAAUUAGAUAGAGUUCUCCAUGUAGAUGGAGUAAGAUCAAACCUCCUAAGUAUUAGUUAGAUAUGUGAAAAUGAACAUAGGGUGAAUUUUUGUCAUGACUUAUGCAAGGUAGUGAAUAAAGAAGGAAACACUACUACAAAAAUAAUAUAUGAUGUCACUAUUUAUGGUGUCGCAUUUAAAAUAAUGACACCAUUGAACUUAAAAUUUAUAAAGGUGACACAUCAUAUAAAAAAUCUUCAAUUAGGAUAGUUAGAUGAUGCUAAUUUCAGAUUUACGGUGUCAUUUUUUGGAAGUGACACCAUAUGAAAUAAAAAGUUUUAAAUUUUAUAACUUAAUGGGCCCUUUUUAAAAAUAGUGAGUAGGAACAAUUUAUGAAAAGUCCAUUGUUUCCAUAUAUACAUUAACUAAUAUAAAAGAUCUUAUUGCUUAACCCUAACCAUCGUUUUCUUCUCCUUCUUCUCACACCCAUGGUCAGCACACCCAUAAUUGAUAUUCUUUGCUUCGUAAAAUCUCGGGUAAGUCAAAAUCUCUUAUCUAUCAUCUUCAUUUUUUUUAUUAAUGCAAAAAACUUUGUUAGUAUAAUUGUUUUAUAUCUCUUGAUUUAGUAUAUCUAUGAUGUGGGUUUUGUAAAUGGUGUUUUUUAUCGAGUUCCAAUGAAGUAAAAACUAGGUUUAACAUUCUAACAUAUUUUUUGUUUCAUUGCUAAUAAGCCCCAAAACAAAUGAAAACAAGAAAAAUGAAUUAUUUUUAAAAUUUUUGUCUAAUUGAGAAUGAGAGAUACACUAGUUUGUAGUAAUUUUUCGCAUGAAAUAGUAUUUUAUUGAAGACUUGACUAUAUUUGAUACUUUUUUCCACCGUGCUAGGAGCUUUUUGGUGAAAUCUAACAAUAGAGAUUGACAUCUACUACAAGAUGAUACUCAAUUAAUCCAAAAGCACUUAAGUUAUUUAGGGUUUUCUUCAGUUAACCUAAGAAAACAUUCCCACUUUCUUUGUAUUGAGUCACCUAAAUAGAAUAGAAUAUUGGGUAUCAGAGUCGUAAAGGGUAUUAUAAAUAUGACUUUUUUUUUAGAGUCACCUACGUGGAAUGAAUUAUUGGUAGGUGAACAAAAUAUUGGGGUGAUUGUAAUAGUUGAAUUAGUAAAUGGAAGAUAAGUGUAUGUUGCUUUGUUUAUUCUAUAAAAACAAUAAUUUUAGUAGUUGAAAUUUACAUGCUUUGUUGUUUUAUAAAAACAAUAAUUUUAGUAUUUGAAAUUUUAAAAUGUGAAUGAAAUGCCUGAAAAUAUGUUUUGAAAAAUAGGAUAGUAAUAAAUGGAAAAUAACUCAUUUCCUAAAAAUAUUUUGAUAAAUUAAAAUAAUAUGUGGUUAAAAUAUAUUUUUGUGAAAGUAUUUAAAAAUGAAUNNNNNNNNNNNNNNNNNNNNNNNNNNNNNNNNNNNNNNNNNNNNNNNNNNNNNNNNNNNNNNNNNNNNNNNNNNNNNNNNNNNNNNNNNNNNNNNNNNNNAAAAUAUUUUUGAAAAUAGAAAUAUAAAUGAUAUAGCUCAUUUCCUAAAAAUCUUUGAUAAAUAAAAUAACUGUAGUUAAAAUAUAUCUUAUGAAAGUAUUUAAAAAUGAACCAAUAUAUUUAUAAUUGUUAUUUGUUUAAAAAUAAUUUAAUAGUAAAAAAAUAAUACUGAGUUCAAAUAUGACUACUUUGUUAUGAGAUUCAUUAAAGAAAUAAUUGUUGAUUUUACAGUUAUUGCAUAAAAUGUUUUACUCGUUUAAUGAAUUGUACAUAAUUUCAUACUUUCAAUUAUUGUGAUAUUAAUGUUAUUCUCAUUUGAUUUCAGUUUGAUGACAAAUAAAACAUAUUCUCAAGUAGAAUUUGAUGAAAUUAGAGAAAAAUAGAUUACUUUUGUGUUAUAACUAAUCAUGAAUCAUAUUGAUGUAUCGUGAUCAUUCAUGGUAAGUCCCUUAGUUGUUAUAUGAUUGAAUUUUCCAUUGAUAUUGUAUAACAUUACUUAUUCUUUACGAACUAUUUUUAUACCAAAAUGAGAAAAAGGAAAAAGAAAAAGAAAACAUUAGUACUUAGAUUUGUUUAUUGUUUAUAACAUCACAUUUUUAUUUUCAAUAAGAACUCUAAAACUCAUUAAACUAUGAAAUGCAGGUAUACACUCUUGGGAGGACAAUAUGAAGAAUAAAAAGAAAGGCGAAAGAGGCAACAAGAUUUAGGUUUUUAGAUAUGUCUCUUAUGUCAUACAUUAUAGGACAUAAAUGUUACUUUAUUUGGAAUUGAGAAUUUUGGGUUUUUGGAUGCAACUCUUGUGUCUUUUUAUGGUUAGUCAGUUUUAUGCAUAUGAAAUGCAAGUAUAUAUGAAUGUUGGGAAGCUUAACAUUUCUAAAUCAUGUUUUAAUGUGUAUUCACUUUUCUUUUUUAGUUUUGGUGGGUUUGAUGUGUUUGAUGUACUAUCAUUUUGUGAACAUUUGAUAUACAAAUAUUAUUGGAUGAUGUAAUAUGUUACAAAUUAAUUCAUAAGCNNNNNNNNNNNNNNNNNNNNNNNNNNNNNNNNNNNNNNNNNNNNNNNNNNNNNNNNNNNNNNNNNNNNNNNNNNNNNNNNNNNNNNNNNNNNNNNNNNNNUAUAUUUUUGUGAAAGUAUUUAAAAAUGAAUCAAAAUAUAAAUAAUUGUUAUUUUGUUUGAAAAUAAUUUAGGAAUAUAAAAUAAUAUUGGGGAUAAUUUUUGAGUUUAAAUUGGGUUAUAAAUGGUUAAUUUUUUUAGGACUGUCCUUUUUGAAAAUAAUCCAAUGAUAAUUUUUUUAAAUAAGAAUGUUGAAAAUAAUUUUAAAAAUAAAAUUUUGUUGACAAUGAUUUUUCUAAAAGUAUUUUAGGCAUAAAUGGAAAUUUCUUGUAUGAAAAUAAGAGAAUUUAUAUAUAUAUAUAUAUAUAUAAUAGACAUAAAAAUAGACUUCUUUGAUAUUUAAUAAACAAGUGAAUUUUUCUCUAAAAAAAGAAUGAAAUAAGAAUUUCUCUAUAUAAUAAAAUAAUUUAUAUAUGAGAUAGUUUUCAAUAAGAAAGUUUUGAAAAUAAAUUUGGGAUAAAAUAUUUUUUAGUAAGUUUUGUUUAGAUAAUUCAAGAAUAAAGUGGUUUAUUAACUUUUCUUAAAAAAUAACAUUCUUCUUUCUUUUUUGAAUUGAUCAAUUUUUUUAGAAAUAAAAUUGUUAGAUUCUAUUUUUUGUAAAUGUUUAAGAAAUUCUAAAAAAUUCUUUAAAAAUGAAAUGACCUUUCUACCACAUUCCUUGUAAUAAAUAAUUGUUUUUUUUAUACAUAUUGUAAAGUAAAAAAAAAAAGUAUUUGUUUAGUUAACCUAAGAAGACAUUCCUACUUUUCUUUGUGUUGAGAGUCACCUAAAUGGAAUAAAAUAUUCAAUAUCAUAGGAGAGUAAAAAGUAUUGUAUAAAUGAUUUUGUUGAGAGAGUUAUCUAAAUGGAAUGAGAUAUUGGUAGGUGAAUAAAAUAUUAUGGUGAUUGUAAUAGUUGACUUAGUGAGUGGAGGAGAAGUGUAUGUUUCUUUGUUUAUUCUAUAAAAACAAUAAUUUUAGUAGUUGAAAACGUGUAUGAAAUGACUGAAAAUAUUUUUUGAAAAAUAAGAAAAUAAUAAAUGGAUAAUAGCUCAUUUCCUAAAAAUCUUUUGAUAAAUUAAAAUAACUUGUAGUUAAAAUAUAUUCUUAUGAAAGUAUUUAAAAAUGAACCAAUAUAUUAAUAAUUGUUAUUUUGUUUAAAAUAAUUUAUAGUAAAAAAUAUACUGAGUUCAAUAUGACUACUUUGUNNNNNNNNNNNNNNNNNNNNNNNNNNNNNNNNNNNNNNNNNNNNNNNNNNNNNNNNNNNNNNNNNNNNNNNNNNNNNNNNNNNNNNNNNNNNNNNNNNNNGCAACUCUUGUGUCUUUUUAUGGUUAGUCAGUUUUAUGCAUAUGAAAUGCAAGUAUAUAUGAAUGUUGGGAAGCUUAACAUUUCUAAAUCAUGUUUUAAUGUGUAUUCACUUUUCUUUUUUAGUUUUGGUGGGUUUGAUGUGUUUGAUGUACUAUCAUUUUGUGAACAUUUGAUAUACAAAUAUUAUUGGAUGAUGUAAUAUGUUACAAAUUAAUUCAUAAGCAUUAUGAAAAUAUAAGUUAAAUGUAAUAUGAUUAUUAUAUUUAUGGACAAUUUACACAGGUUAGUCUUAUUUAUUAAUAAGCAUUACAAAAAUCUACAAACUAAUCAAUAAAAAACAACCAUAUCUUCCAUAAUCAUUUACAAUGAUGUGACACCAUAAAUUAAAGGUGAUACAUUUAACGUGACACCAUAACUCAAAGAUGAUGCAUUUAAUAUGACACCUUAUAUAUCUCAUACAACUCUAUAUCAAAUUAAGCAUCACUAAAAAUAUAUGGUGUCUUUUCUGAAUGUGUCACCAUUUAUCUACUUUGGUGUCGCUUCCAAAUACGUCACCAAUUGAUACCCUCUAUGGUGUCAGUGGAUAAGGUGACGCUAUAUUGUAGUGACACCCUAUGUUUAUAGCGACUUAUUAUAAAUGUCACCAUAUAUUUUUUUCCUUGUAGUGAAAAGUCAUUAUCAUAGGACACAUGAAAGUUAACAACUCUUAUGUAAUAAAUUCUAACUCUAAAAGUGCACUAGGGCAAAGGUAGAUCUUACUGAACUCUAGUAUAGAAGGCUAGGUCACAAACUAUAGGGAUCUUGUACAUGUAGUGAAUAGUGAAAAAGUUAGAUGUGUCCUUAAACUAAGUGGUGAACCUAAACCCAUUUGGUAGUGAGUGUAUGAAAGGUAAACAAACUAAAAGUUCACACAAAAAGGUUAAAGAAAUUAGAAUCACUAGACCUUUAGACCUACUUCAUAUGGAUCUUAUUAGUCCCAUGUGUACUAAAAGUAGAGAUGGUAAGAGAUAUGUCCUAGUUGUUGUGAAUGAUUUUUCAAGAUACUCAUUUGUGAGUUUUCUUAGAGAGAAAUCAGAGACCAUAGAGCAUUUGAAGUCAUUGUUCACAAGAAUACAAGUGGAGAUAGGCCAUCCAAUUGUGAGGAUUAGGAGUGAUAGUAGGGAGAAGAGAGUUUGACAAUGUGGAUGUUGACCUCUUUUGUGAGUAAAAAGGUAUCAAACAUGAAUUUUCAGCCUCUAGAACUCCUCACUUAAAUGGAGUGGCUGAAAGAAAAAAUAGAGUGUUACAAGAAAUGGCUAGAGUGAUGAUUCCUACGCAUAAUACCCCUAUGCAAUUUUGGGUUGAAGCUAUAAAUACGACAUGUUAUACUACCAAUAAGAUUUUUCUUAGGCCUGCAACAAUGAAAACAUCUUAUGAAUUAUGGACUAGGAGAAAACCUAACCUUACGUAUUUUAGAACUUUUGGUAGUGAGUGCUACAUACUCAAGGAUGGGGAGAACCUAGGGAAAUUUAAUGCAAAAUUUGAUGUAGGUAUCUUCCUAGGCUAUUCUACUAAGAGUAAAGCCUAUAAGGUUUAUAAUCAAAAUUCACACAUUGUCCAAGAAUCCUCUAAUGUGGUUAUAAAUGAUAUUGGGUAUGAUCAUGAUGUAUUAAUUGAGAAUCAAAUUUUAACCCAAGAAUUAAUUGGGGAUAACCCUAAAAAUGUGGAGAUCAUAGAAGAUAACCCUAAUAAUAUCCCUAAAAGUAAAAUCAAACCCUAACAAGGAUGAAAAUUUAUCUCAAGAAGACACUAUUGAAGAAACAAGGAAUAAACAUAAAUCCAGAGUAGAAAAAAACCACCAUAUCUCAAAUGUUAUAAGUAACAUGAAUGAACGUGUGGUUACUAGAACAAAAUCAAGAUUAAAUGAGAUGUUGUAUGCUACACCUCCCAAUUGGAGCCAAAGAAUUAUAGAGGAAGUUUUAGGAUAUGAGUCUUGGGUCUAAAGAUAAGCAUGUCAGAAGUACAAAAUAAAUUUUAAAAAAUAUACAAAAUGAAAAUAGGGUCAUUGUGAGGAACAAAGUAAGAUUAGUAGCCCAAAGAUAUUCAUAGGCAGAGGGGAUUGACUAUAAAGAGACAUUUGCACCCGUAGCUAGAUUAAAAUCAAUUGGGAUACUUUUGGUCAUAGCAUGCUCCUUGAGGAUGAAGCUUUGUCAAAUGGAUGUCAAGAGUGCUUUCCUAAAUGGGAUUCUUCUUAAUUCAAACAUUAGGUUAGAAAUUAUGCAAAUUUCAUUAAAAUGAUUUUUCUUUACAUGACCAUUAUUCAAAACAUUAUUAAUUUUUUUAUAUAAAAAACUUCAAAUCAAUAGGAUUAGAUAGAAAAAAAAAAAACAAUUUGAAGCAUUUCUAAAAGAAAACCAAAUGCUUAUAUCCUUCUUGUACCAAUUUGAUACGUUUGAUGAUGAUUGACAUUGCCUUCAUUUCCUUUGGAAGAUUAUUUGUUUUUUUACUCUAUUUGUUGUGGAGUUUUCUUCAACUUCACUUGACCUUUCAUUCUCCUUCACCUGCCCUUGUUGUUGAGCUAAGCAUCAUCAAUUCUCUCUUCCAAUUGACUAGCUCAAAAUCAUCGUUGACAUAUUCUCAACCAAGAGAGUUAGAAGAAUAAAAAAUUAAGAAAUGCUCCAUCAUUGAUAUAAAUCAAGUUUUUGCCAAAAACUUUCUUUUGAUUUGAAAAAUCGAGCAUUUGCAUCCAAAUGACAAGUCCAAAGAUAAUAUUCAAAAAAAAUUCUUUAAAGAUGAUUUAUGCGUAAAAAAAAAAAAUUAUAUUUCACAUUAUCAACAUAUCUAUUUUAAAGUAUGAGAGGGACAACAUUACUUAAAAUUACCAAUUUCAAUUUUAUCCAAGGUAAACAUAUUCUUCUUUUUCAAGCAUGGAUUCCUACAAAACCAAAUAGAUAAUCAUUGGUACCCAUAUCUCCUUAGGUCCUAAACACUUAGUCUCUCAUUCCUUUAGAAUCUAAAAUGAUCUAGAGUUGAACAAUAUGAGAAGAUUUUCUUAAUGAACAAUUAUUACCAUAGUUUUAAAACCAACUGUCGACCAGCAGCCUUUCCGGUCCAAUCCUUUCUUUUGAGCCGAACACCCAUCGAACCAUUCUUAAGUUGCCUGAACAAGCUAAUGAGUUGGCGAACCAGAUGAACUAGGCUAUUUUGUAAUAACCGAAUAGUUCAAAACUCACUCUAUUUGCUACCCUUUUCUUUUUGGCAAAAUGUGGCCCAAAUUGCUUUUCGACGUGGAAUAACUGGAAUGAAUAUUUUAAAGAAAAAUUACAUUUAUAACUACAUGAGAAGAGCUUAAACCCCAAACCCCAAGUUAAAGUAAAGUCGACAACACCACUCUAUUACGCCCCAUUUGUUGUUAAAAUUGAUUAAAAAUAAAUAAGUAAAUUACCUAUGUUAUUUCAAAAAAAUAAUAUAUAUAUAUAUAUAUAUAUAUAACAAAAGCACCUCUACGAGGGGGUGCAACCCUUUGAAUGGACCGUAAAGGCUAAUCCUUGGAAAAUUUGGUUUUGGGUAUAUAUCAUCAUUAAGUUAGAUUAUUUUUAUUUAUGUUUCUAGAUUACACUCAAUGACAGUUUUUCAAGACUUAAUCAUUUAGGUAGAUUGUGUUUUCUAGAUCUAAUUGAAUAUAAAGUUAAUUGUUUUUUCCAAAAUUUGUUUUCUAUAUAUUAUCGUUAAGUCCAAAUUGAGUAAUAAAUACAUCACUUUUGAUAAAUUAAGUAAUACAACAUGACUCAUACCUAUUUUUCCUUUGAUUUUAUUUUCAAAUAAUAAAAAAAUAAGUUGACAAGACCUAUUUUGCCUUAAAUUUUAUUUUCGAAUACUAAAAGAAAAUUGACAUGAACUAUUUUUCCUUAAAUUUUAUUUUUGAAUAGUAAAAAAUAAUUUGACAUGAACUAUUUUUCCUUAAAUUUAUUUUCAAAUAGUAAAAAACAAGUUGAUACUAUACAUAAUAACCUAUCCUAUUUAUUAUGGUCAAUUCCAAAAUGAGUAAUAUGACAUCACUCAUGAUAAAUUAGGUGAUACAACACGAUAUGACCUAUUUUUUCUUAGAUUUUAUUUUCAAAUAGUAAAAAAACAAGUUGAUACAACCUAUUUUUCCAUAAAUUUUAUUUUUUGAACACUUAAAAACAAGUUAACAUGACUUAUUUUUCCUAAAAUUUAUUUUUGAAUAGUAAAAAACAAGUUGAUAUCAUAAUUACCUAUCCUAUUUAUUAUGGUCAAUUCCAAAUUGAGUGAUAUGAUAUACCCAUGAUAAAUUGGGUGAGACCACCUAUUUUUCCUUAGAUUUUAUUCUCAAACAAUAAAAUAAAAUAAAAAGUUGACAAGACCUAUUUUUCCUUAGAUUUUAUUUUUGAAUAGGAAAAAUAUAAGUUGACAUGACCUAUUUUUCCAUAGAUUUUAUUUUUGAAUAGUAAAAGAAAGUUGACACCACCUAGUUUUCCUUUAAAAAAAAAUGAACAAUAAAAAGCAAGUUGACACAACCUAUUUUUUCCUUAAAUUUUAUUUUCAAAUAGUAAAAACAAGCAGACACCACCUACAAGUUGACAUGAUUUAUAUUUCCUUAUAUUUUAUUUUCAAAGAGUAAAUCCAAGUUGACAUGAUCUAUUUUUCCUUAAAUUUUAUUUUUGAACAGUUUGCAAGGACUACCCUCUCCUACCUGUCUUAGAAUCUCAAGCCUUCAAAAGAAGUUAGAGAUCUAUGACUGCCCCAAGCUCCAAUCUAUAUCCUUGACAGAAGAGCAAUUGCCCCCCAACCUUUCUGUUCUAACAAUCCAGAAGUGCCCAUUGUUGAGAGGUCAGUGCAAAGUUUUGGACAAGGGAAGAUUGGCAUAAGAUAGCACACAUUCCACACAUUGUGAUCGAUGACCAAGUUUUGUAAUCAAGGUAGCAUUGCACCAAUUUUUAGUCAAGUAUUGGUUUUGUCCUGAAAGUAAUUUUCUCACGAAAACUUAUAUGCUUAAAUACCAAUUUUAAUUUGAACAAUUAUAAAUAGGAAAAAUAUGCUUUAAAUUUUCUAAUUAUUACAAUAUUUUCUUGCUUUCUUUCAAGUUAUCAAUAAUUCUUCACUCUUAUAAAUUGAUGCUUCAUAUCUUCGUAAGAAAUCUUCUUUUAAUCAAUAAUGUCUUAUUGAAUGCUUCAAAUUAUUAAGGAGCACAAUAUGCAUAUUGAACCAAAAUCCUUCAAGUUCAAGCUUUUAGGGAAAUUGGUAGUUCAAUAAGGUAUUAGAACUUGAUUUGCUAAGAGUCAUGAGUUCAAGCCACUUGCAAUAUGCAUGUUUGUUUCCCCUAUUUGUUUCUCAUCUCCCCCUUUGCAAUUCUUCAAUAUAUCUAUCCCCCAAUUUACAAUCCUUUAGUAUCUCUCUCCCCCAAUUUACAAUUCUAUGGUAUCUCUCCACAUGAGGGAGAGGGUUAAGGAGCAUGAUAUGCAUAUUGAACCCAAAUCCUCCAAACUUAAGCUUUUAGAAAAAUUGAUAGUUCUACCAAAAAGUCAAGCAAUUCUACAUGUCUGGUUUCAUAACUCGUGUUUCUUGUAUAACUUUAUGGACCUUGAAUUUGUAACUUGUGUUUCUUGAAUUCGUUUUCAUUGGCUAACUCACUGAAACCUCAUGGCAGUCCUUGGAUCCUAGUUUUCUCAACAAAUUCGAGUGGUCUAGCAUAUUUUUUUUAGCAUCCAAAGACCCAUGAUUGAUACACUUCUUGAGGAACUAGAGAAAGCUCAACUAUAUUGGAGACUGCAGUAUGCAACAUGUUCUAUGAUUCCAAUUAGUAAGACAUUUCAAUUCCUUUAUUUUAACUUUCUAAGCUACAAACUAAAAAGAUUUUCAAUCCCAUAUGCAUUAUUUUUAAGAUUCUUUGUGUUAAUAUCUUAGAUCUUCUCUAGAAUCAACAGGUAUGUACCUUAUGAUUCAUACUUUUCAUAAAGAAAAUUGUCAAAAAUUUAAUUUUCUUUUCUUUAACUUUUUCAUGUAGAAUCAAACAAGAAUUUUUUAUAUAGAUAAUUUUUACUAUGUUUUUUUUCCUUCUCUUUUUUCUUUAUGAUUUUUUUCCUUCAAAUUUUUAAGAAAUAAAAAAUUAUCUGACUUACAUUUAUAAAAUGUAGUCAUAUAGUAUAGUAUAAUGUUGUGUGGGCUAUGAGUUGAUAUGAUAUUCUUAAGGCCUUAGCUCAUGACCAAUAUGCAAGUUUAGUUUGAAUCAGAUUUUCUAAUGUACUAUAUCCUAGAUAGUCUUUUCUGAUGAUAAAAAUUCAAAUCUUUCUAGAAAUUUUAUUAUUUAAUGUGGAUGCGUAAACUUUGAUUUGCAACUUUGAAAAUUUAAGGCAAUUGUUGAAUAAAGGUGUGAUACGUUUGUUUUUUUAAUUAAAAAAUAGAUAAUAUAAAACUCUUAUAAUAAAAAAGAUUAAAUUUCUAAAAUCCAUAUCUAAUCCCCAGAUUCACAGUCGUCAAUCUAGAUUGACGUAACCAAUUGGCAUGCUAGAAUUUCACUCAUUUGGACACUUUUAUUAUUAAUUACGUACUAACAUGUUAAAGUCAAUGACAAUAAUCUAAUUUAGUCCACUCUUUUAUGCUAUUCUAAGAUUUCAUCCUCAUUCAUGGAGAAAGAAUAAAAAGGUGUUCCUUUUAACUUAACAAACCAAGAAUGACAAGCAUUUAGACAUUGUGCUCUCAAAAACACCAAGAUAUACCAAUCCAUUAAUGGUCUAAAAUCAACUUCACAAAUGACAAAUAUAAGCAACCAUAAAUCACUCAUUAUAAAAAAUGUUAAAAGAGAUAAAUCAAAAGUGAUUGUAGGUUUGUAAUGUUAGGUCCAACGGAGUAAAAAUUCUCAAGGUCUCAACUCAUGCCAAAUAUGCAAAUUUUGAUGGAAUUAAUUAGGAUGUCUCAACUUUUUCUUUUCCUUUUCUUAGGUUGGAUUUAUAUUGGUUGAUAGUGAUUCUAUUUAUCUAUUAAUAAAAAGUUUACUUUUUAAAUCUAAACUAAAAGUACAUUAUAUUUAUUAAUCUAUAGCAUUAUAAAAGUUUGAAAAAUCUUUAGGGUAACAAUAUCCAUAUUAUGUUCAUUCAUAUCUCAAAUAUUAAAGCUAUAUUAAAACUAUUAACAUUGUAAAUAUGAAUACUUAUUCUUAUAUAUUCUUAAAUAAGAUAUUGAUAGAUAGUGACUAAGUAUAUCCCGAACAAAUACUAUAAUAAUGUGUAAAAUAAAUAUAACAUGUGUUUAUUUUAUAGAAAAGUAUGAUUUAUAUAUAAUUUCACAUAUUUUAUAGGAUAUUUCUUUUCUAAAAAUGAGCUAUCUCCUGCUGAAACAUCAAUACCAAUUCUGGAAAGGGGAAGAUUGGCAGCAUAUAGCUCACAUUCCACGCAUUGUGGUGGACGAUCAACAAGGUUCUUAUAAUGUGCUAUAAAUGAUUUUUCUUCAAAAGGCAGUAAGUUGUGAUCGAAACUUUCUAGUCAUAUUGUUUUCUUCCAGCUUAGUACAUGCUUUUUCACUCUGGGGUUUAAUCCUUUGGCAAUACUUUCUAUUAUCAUGAUUGCCUCUAAUUAACCAUAAACUUAACUAUUUUUUAUAUCGGCUGUAUCCAAUCUACUCGUAUCACAGCUCUAUAAAUUUUCUUCCCUGCUACUUUGCGUAAGGUUAUGUUUGAUUUCUCGGAAAGUACUAAGAAAAGGAAAAAAAAAAAUGCUAAAAAUCGGAGGCUUACUAUCACAAACAAUCAGAGGCUUACUCCAAUCAAUUAAUGAGGGCAAACUAAUGAUACAUGAAUGAGUUUCUUCUAACUCAACAACUUAAGUUUAGGUAAAUUUCAGGCUCUAAUAGGCAUCUCCACUUUAGUCACAGCUUGUUUGGUAGCCUCUCCUAGUACUCAAAGAUAGACUCAUAAAGGAAGAAAAAAGAACUCAACCUCAUAAAUGAGAAGUAAGAAUUGAAAAAUCCAGGGAAACAAGCAAGCUAGAGCAGCAAGAGAAGAAUGGAGGCUAUCAAGAGGACUGUCCGGUCCUAUGCUGAGGAAAGAACAAAACUUGGACAACAUGCUUUGUGUUGCAGUUAAUACGGCAUAUACCCUUUGGGCUUGGACAACACUAAUUCUGGUCGGAAUAGGCAGGCCUAGGUUGGUGGGAAGGGUCUUGUCUCAGUGGAAGGGCCAAUGCUAGCAAGCCUGGCCCGAAGCUUGUUUUUCCUUUCUUGUUUUUUUGUCUCGGUCGGAAGCUUCUCUUUUUUAAGAAUGGGUUCCACAAUUGACACUGCCUAUCCGCUAGGUGUGCUGAAUGGUCAGCCGGCCUUAUCAGGAAUCUUGCAUAUUAUACUCUAAUUGUCGCAACUUGAAUAAAGUGACAACCCCAAAGGUCUUAUCCUUUCAAUAUUUUACAUAUUGUUUUCUUCCAGCUUAGCAUUACUUUCUAUUAUCAUGACUGCCUCUAAUUAACCAUAAACUAGCUAUUUUUUAUAUCGGCUUUUCCAGUAGUUGUGCUAAAUGGUCAGCCGGCCUUCAGGAAUCUUGGAUAUUAUACUCUAAUUGUCGCAACUUGAAUAAAGUGACAACCCCAAAGUUCUUAUCCUUUCAAUAUUUUACAUAUCAGAUAGGUGAUUUUGUUAAUAUAUAUAUAUAUAUAUAUAUAUAUUAUUAUUAAGAAUGGGUUCCACAAUUAACACUGCCUAUCCACUAGGUGUGCAUCUUAUACUCUAAUUGUCGCAACUUGAAUAACGUGACAACCCCAAAGGUCUUAUCCUUUCAAUAUUUUACAUAUCAGAUAGGUGAUUUUGUUAAUAUAUAUAUUAUAGACUAUUGAAGGGCAGGUUUAAUCCCUACCACUCAUAUUUUGUUUUUGGCAGCCAAAUUGCAAGUCACAUGACUGAGAGUUCUUGCUCACUAGUUAAUAUUUUUUUCUUUACUGGCCCUUGUGUUUGGUUAAGAAUGGCGAAGUUGUGAUAGGUCCCAAUCAGUACAAGCACAACAAACACAAAGAAAGUAUUCUCUUUGGGUGAGAAUGAACCACAAAUUCAUUAACUUCUCCUCUCCCUUUUCCAUUCUCUUCUUUCCAAAGUUAUACAUCAAAGAAACAACUGAAAUGAAGCUAAUGGUGUCCGAGUCUGUAGGAGACUCAUUCACCCACUACCCAUGACUUGCAGUCGUGCUAAUAACUGCCCUAAAACAAAAGUAAACCAGCAAAUACAAUAAAAGGAAAUGAUGCUGAAGUAGGAAAAAUGGGCUUGGCUUCUGAACAUGGACAUCAGUCCAUAUAGCGUGAGUUGGGCCUCAGGGUCCGACAGGAUCUUCUAGGCUUAUCAUUGCCCACCCCAUGAAGAGGAUGCUUGUCCUCAAGCAUCAGAUGAGGAAACUGGUGGCAAAGAGUAUCCGUGGACUCCCAGGUGACUUCUUCGUGGGGUAGAUGCUUCCAAUGCACCAAGCUUUCUUCCAUGAAGGUGUCACCCCGCUUAAUCCAUCGUGUAUCAAGUAUCUGUUGAGGUUCAAGGGUUAUGACACCAUUAUCUGCAAGUGGAGGUAAGUCAAGUGGAGUGACAGCUGGAGUGCCAUUGUAUGGUUUAAGCAAAGAGACAUGGAACAUGGGGUGAAUUCGAGCUAUAGGUGGCAAUUGCAGGCGGUAUGCUACUGCUCCGAUUUUCUCCAAAAUAGGAUAGGGUCCAUAGUAGCGGCUGGAUAAUUUUUGAUGAGCUCGUUUGAAGACUGUUUGCUGACGAUAUGGACGGAGCUUUAAUAGGACUUGAUCACCAACUGCGAACUGGAUAUCUCUUCUCUUGGAGUCGGCUUAUUGCUUCAUUCGGUUCAUGGAAAUCUCUAAAUUUGUCUUGAGUUGGUGGAGCAGCUCGUCACGAUGCAGGAGCGUUUGAUCCACUUCAUGAACUGGGGAAAGGCCCUCCGGAUAGGCUGGGAUAAGUGGUGGAAGGCGGCCAUAAAGAGCUUGGUAAGGUGUCAUUUUUGUUGAGGCGUGGUAGGUGGUAUUGUACCAAUACUCUGCCCAAGCGAGAUAAGUACUCCAUUUUCGCGGCCAUUGGUGAACGAAGCAGCGCAAAUAUUGUUCAACACAGCGGUUAACAACUUCAGUUUGGCCGUCUGUUUGUGGAUGGUAAGCUGAACUGAGCAUGAUUUUGGAGCCGAAGAGUUUGAAGAAUUCUUGCCAGAAUUUGCUGAUGAAGAUUGGGUCGCGAUCACUGAUGAUGGAGCGUGGCAUUCCAUGGAGUUUGACAUUUCCCUCAAUAAAGUUUUCUGCAACAACUUUGGCCGUAAAUGGGUGAGUUAAGGGAAUAAAGUGGGCAAACUUACUGAGCCUAUCAAUGACCACCAGAAUUGUGUCUUUGCCAUGAGAAGUGGGCAACCUUUCAAUGAAGUCGAGAGUGAUGUCCUCCCAAACCUGUGCAGGAAUUGGUAAGGGCUGUAAUAAUCCCGCCGGUGCCUUGGUCUCUGGUUUAAUGCGUUGACAUACCUCACAUUUCUGGACAUACUCUUGAACAACUUUAUGCAUCUUUGGCCAAUAAAAUUGUUGCUGCAAUCUUCUAUAAGUUCGAAGGAUCCCCGAGUGCCCUCCAACUUUAGAAUCGUGAACUUCAUACAACAAUUUAGCCCUUAAAGAGUGAUCAGCAGGCACCACAACCUUCCCUUUGUAAAGCAGCAAACCAUCACGCCAAGUCAAGUUGCCAUGAGGAGGAUCACCCGCCUUUUUUCCCAAAAGCUGCACAUAGGAAUCUGAUUUAGAGGCCUCGCGGAUCUGCUUCCAAAUAUCCACCUCCGAAAAAUGAAGAGCAGCCAAUAAUGGGCUUUCUUGCCGCCUAGAUAAAGCAUCUGUAGCAGAGUUUUCACGACCCGGUCGAAAGAUGAUUUCAUAAUCGUACCCCAGUAAUUUGGCCACCCAUUUUUGCUGCUCCGGAGUUGCAACACGCUGAUCUAAGAAAAAUUUGAGGCUUCGUUGAUCGGUUUUGAUGUAGAAUUUGCGGCCAAGUAAAUAUGGUCUCCACAUCCGUAUUGCUUCCACGAUGGCUAGCAUUUCCUUUGCAUAGAUUGACCAAGUUUGCUUAGUGAUUCCCAAGGCUCGGCUCAUAUAGGCAAUUGGUCUAUUUUGUUGAGUUAGAACAGCGCCAAUUUCGUUUCCCGAUGCAUCCGUUUCAAUGUGAAAGGUUCGGAAAAGUUUGGCAUGGCUAGUGUGGGGAUGGAUGUCAUGGCUUGUUUCAAAGCUAAGAAAGUCGCUUCCGUUUCGUCAUUCCAUUGAAAAUUCCCUUUUUUGAGGAGGUUAGUUAAUGGUCGAGCUAUUAAUCCAUACCCUUGAACAAACUUGCGGUAGUAGCCGGUGAGGCCUAAGAAUCCAUGGAGCUCGGUAAUGUUGGAGGGUCUUGGCCAAGCAACCAUUGCUUCAAUUUUCUUUUCAUCAACUUUGACUCCACGAUGUGUAAUUAUGUGGCCCAAAUACUCUAGCUCUUGUUUGCCGAAUGCACAUUUGCUCAUCUUGACGUAGAAUUGGUGUUGCCGAAGGACGGCUAAUGUAAGUUGGACAUGCUCCAAGUGCUGCUCCCAUGUCGGACUGUAAAUUAAAAUGUCAUCAAAAAACACCAAGAUGAACUUCCGCAAAUACGGUCGAAAAAUCGAGUUCAUUAUUGCUUGGAAUGUAGAUGGUGCGUUGCAUAGCCCAAAUGGCAUAACCAAGUACUCAUAGUGGCCAUUGUGAGUGCGGAAAGCAGUUUUAGGAAUAUCAGGGGUGCUAACUCGUAUUUGGUGGUAUCCUGCCUUGAGAUCCAGCUUAGUAAAAAAUGCAGCUCCGUGUAACUCAUCAAGCAUAUCAUCUACUGUUGGAAUUGGGAAACGAUCCUUUACGGUGGCAGCGUUUAAUGCUCGGUAGUCUGUGCAGAAUCGCCAUGUGCCAUCUUUUUUCUUCACUAGCAGUACUGGAGAAGAAAAGGGGCUAGUGCUUGGUCGAAUCAACCCUGCAUUGAGCAUGUCUCGAACCUGAUUUUCAAUCUCAGUUUUUUGGAAAUAUGCGUACCUAUAUGGCCUCACAUUAAUAGCUUCGGUUCCGUCUUUGAGUGGUAUUUUGUGAUCAAUUUCGCGUGUUGGUGGUAACUUGGUAGGCGCAGCAAAGACAUCUGAAUAUUCCUCCAGCAAUGCCUGCAUAUCUGAUGAGAGUUCCUCAUUGUUCUGUUGUCCUUCGAGCUGAACAUAUAAAGCAAACACAGCUUGUCGUUGUCGAAAGUCCUUAGUGAAGCCCUGCAAUGUGGUGUCUUGGAUCGGUGGAAUUUCAAUUCCCUGGAGUUUCUUAGGCUGUUGCUCCCAGAUGAAGUCCAUGGUUCGCUUUUUCCAAUCACAAACCACUGAACCCAACGUCUCUAACCACUGAAUGCCUAGCACCAUAUCCAAACCAUUUAAGGGCACAGAAAAGAAGUCGAGGUGGAACUCAUUACCUUGUAAAUUAACCGUGAGCUUCUCAUAUUUCCCUUUACAAGAUAAUCUUUCCCCAUUGGCAACUCGGACAGUAAACGGUGUUGUGGGCUUCACGGGCAAACGAAGCGUUUCGGCUACUCGGUCACUGAUGAAAUUAUGAGUGGAUCCACUAUCGAUUAAGGCAACCACCUCAUGCGCUCCAAUAAUUGCCUUAAUUCGCAUUGUUCUCGGUACAAUCCAUCCAGUUAGUGCAUGUAGAGUGAUCUCGGGCUCCUUUCCGUUGUCAUCUUCCUGAAUCUCGGAUAUUUCCCUUGUCGUGUUUACCCCUCCCAUUUCCUCUGGUGUUUCAUCUUCCUGUAUACAGCCCUCUAGGAGCAUCAACUGUGGUGCUUGACACUUGUGUCCAGGGGUGAACCUUUCAUUGCAGUUGAAACAUAAUCCUUGAGCUCUACGUUUCUGCAUCUCAUCCCAUGACAGCCUUUUGAUUGCCACUUGUGUGGAACCCUUGGGAGGAUUGGGGUUACUUACAGGAACAGAAGCUUGUAAGGCACUCGGCCGUGCGAAUCGCCUCUGUCUCGCAAGCUGAUCGUCCCUCAUUUUCGCCAAGCUAAUUGUCUCUUUCACAGAUUGAGGCUUGAACAUUCUUAUUCCAUCAGCUACCUCUGGUUUCAAGCCUCCCAUGAACGUACCCACAAGAGCCUUUUGGGUCCAUCCACGAACUCGAUUCCCAAGCCGUUCAAAUUCCCGUUGAUAGUCUCGCAAUGUUCCCGUCUGUCUCACUCAGGAUAGCGCUUCGUCGAAGUCUUCAGAAUCAGGGGGUCCAAAACGAGCCCUUACUUCAUCUUCGAAGGCUUCCCACGGGAUACUCCCCUGUCCUUCAGCGAAUGCCUUUCGGAACCACUGCCACCAUUGAUUCGCCUCGCCUUUGAGGUGGAACGAAGCUAGACGCACCUUUUGAUCAGCGGCUAUCUCUUGAAACUCGAAGAACUGGUCCACACGAUUGAGCCAUUCCGUUGGGUCAUCUCCAGAAAAUCUUGGAAAUUCCAACUUUGCAAUCUUGGAAGAAAAUGGCCGGAUGUUUUCGCCGGUAUCUCGGUUGGUUCGGUGGGGUCCUUCUUGCUGAUAAUUAUUAUGGCUAGGUGAUCCUCUGCUUGAGAGGAAUGCUUCAGAUAGUUGUUUUGCAAUAGUUUCUUCUAGUCGUUGGAUCUUGUCGGUGAUUCCCACCUCCAUUCGCUGCAUUCCUUCUUGAACUCCUCCAAGCUUCUCCUCUAGAAGCUCGAUCCGUUCCUUGUUUGUCGUCAUGAACCUGCUCUGAUACCAAUGAUAGGUCCCAAUCAGUACAAGCACAACAAACACAAAGAAAGUAUUCUCUUUGGGUGAGAAUGAACCACAAAUUCAUUAACUUCUCCUCUCCCUUUUCCAUUCUCUUCUUUCCAAAGUUAUACAUCAAAGAAACAACUGAAAUGAAGCUAAUGGUGUCCGAGUCUGUAGGAGACUCAUUCACCCACUACCCAUGACUUGCAGUCGUGCUAUUAACUGCCCUAAAACAAAAGUAAACCAGCAAAUACAAUAAAAGGAAAUGAUGCUGAAGUAGGAAAAAUGGGCUUGGCUUCUGAACAUGGACAUCAGUCCAUAUAGCGUGAGUUGGGCCUCGGGGUCCGACAGGAUCUUCUGGGCUUAUCAAGUUGCAGUGCGUUUCAUAUCAUAAACCGAAAUUCCACAGUUUGGUUUGCAUCUGCUUAAGUAUUUGUUUGCCAUAUGUUCAAUAAUGUGGACAUACCUGUAGGGUAGGGUAGGGUAGGUGGAAAAUAUUCUUCUUUGUUUAUGUGGACAUUUGGACCAUUAGUAGAGUAACUGACAGGCCAUGUUCAUCUGCCUCUUUAUUGUAUCCAAGGGCCUCCCUAUUUGGUGACAAGGUUCUUCGUUGUUGACCAAAACUACUCUGCUUGAUUUGCAUCUGCUUUCAUUCAUUUUUCUUUGAUCCUGUAUUCACUUCCCUUGCAAACCAACAGACAUGGUCGGGGCUAUAGUAGGAGGAGCAUUUCUCUCCGCUUCUAUCCAAGUUCUACUUGACAGGUUGGCUUCUCGCAAUGUCCUCACCUUCCUCCGGGGACAGAAACUCAGUGCUACGCUCCUAAGGAAGUUGAAGAUAAAAUUGGUGGCAGUUCAGGCAGUGCUCGAUGACGCUGAGGCCAAGCAAUUCACAAAAUCAGCUGUAAAAGAUUGGAUGGAUGACCUGAAAGAUGCUGUGUAUGAUGCAGAGGACCUGUUGGAUGAGAUAACCACUGAAGCUCUACGCUGCAAAAUGGAGUCUGAUGCUCAAACCAGCGCAACUCAGGUACGUGACAUCACCUCUGCCUCGCUUAAUCCGUUUGGUGAGGGAAUCGAGUCCAGGGUAGAGGAGAUCACUGACAAACUAGAAUUUCUUGCACAAGAAAAAGAUGUUCUGGGAUUGAAAGAAGGCGUUGGAGAAAAAUUGUCACAAAGAUGGCCCGCGACUUCCUUGGUAGAUGAGUCUGGGGAGGUGUACGGAAGGGAAGGUAAUAUACAGGAGAUAGUUGAAUAUUUAUUGUCCCAUAAUGCAAGUGGGAAUAAGAUAAGUGUGAUCGCCCUGGUGGGUAUGGGCGGUAUUGGAAAGACCACACUUACUCAACUGGUCUAUAAUGAUAGGAGGGUGGUGGAAUGUUUUGACCUUAAAGCUUGGGUUUGUGUUUCCGAUGAAUUUGAUCUUGUCAGGAUAACGAAAACCAUUCUUAAGGCAAUCGAUUCUGGGGCUUCUGAAAAAUAUUCUGAUGAUAGUGAUUUGAAUCUGCUUCAACUUAAAGUGAAGGAGAGACUUAGUAAGAAGAAAUUCUUACUUGUCCUUGAUGAUGUUUGGAAUGAAAACUAUACUAAUUGGCAUAUGCUACAAACUCCAUUGACGGUUGGUCUAAAUGGAAGUAAGAUUAUUGUGACUACACGUAGUGAUAAGGUUGCAUCGAUCAUGCGUUCAGUUCGUAUUCAUCAUUUGGGACAGUUAUCCUUUGAGGACUGCUGGUCGCUAUUUGCAAAACAUGCAUUUGAAAAUGGAGAUUCUAGUCUACAUUCAGAACUAGAAGAAAUUGGCAAAGGGAUUGUAAAGAAGUGUAAAGGAUUGCCUUUGGCUGCAAAGACCCUAGGGGGUUCCUUAUACUCAGAGUUACGAGUAAAAGAAUGGGAAAAUGUGUUGAAUAGCGAAAUGUGGGAUUUACCGAAUGAUGAAAUUCUCCCCUCCUUAAGGUUAAGCUAUUCUUUUCUUCCUUCACAUUUAAAGCGGUGUUUUGGAUAUUGCUCAAUUUUUCCUAAGGACUACGAAUUUGAAAAGGAAAAUUUGAUUCUAUUAUGGAUAGCAGAAGGUUUUUUGCAACAAUCUGAAGGCAAGAAAACAAUGGAAGAGGUAGGUGAUGGGUACUUUUAUGACCUAUUAUCAAGGUCAUUUUUUCAGAAGUCUAGUACCCAGAAAUCAUAUUUUGUAAUGCAUGAUCUCAUCAAUGACUUGGCUCAGCUUGUUUCCGGAAAAUUUUGUGUUCAAUUGAAGGAUGGUAAGAUGAAUGAAAUUCUUGAAAAGCUUCGACACUUAUCAUAUUUUAGAAGUGAAUAUGACCACUUUGAGAGAUUUGAGACCCUUAAUGAAGUUAAUUGUCUGCGGACCUUCUUGCCAUUGAAUUUGAGGACUUGGCCUCGGUUUGACAAGGUUUCAAAGAAUAGAAAUCUAAAUGCUACUAAGUAUAUUGUAGAUUUUCAGUUGAGUAAUAGAGUUUGGACUGGUUUAUUAUUGAAAGUUCAAUAUUUACGAGUAUUAUCAUUGUGCUACUAUAAGAUAACGGAUUUGUCUGAUUCAAUUGGUAAUUUGAAACAUUUGCGCUAUUUGGACCUUACCUACACACUUAUCAAAAGGUUACCGGAGUCGGUUUGUAGUUUGUAUAACUUACAAACAUUGAUAUUAUACCGUUGUAAAUUUCUGGUUGAAUUGCCUAAAAUGAUGUGCAAAAUGAUUAGCUUACGUCAUCUUGAUAUCAGGCAUAGCAAAGUGAAAGAGAUGCCAAGUCACAUGGGUCAAUUAAAAAGUUUACAAAAAUUGAGUAACUAUAUAGUGGGCAAGCAAAGUGGGACAAGGGUUGGAGAGUUGCGGAAGCUUUCCCACAUUGGUGGGAGUCUUGUCAUUCAAGAGCUGCAGAAUGUGGUUGAUGCUAAGGAUGCCUCAGAAGCCAAUUUGGUAGGCAAGCAAAAUCUGGAUGAGUUAGAGUUGGAAUGGCAUUGUGGCAGUAAUGUUGAACAAAAUGGAGAAGACAUAGUGCUCAACAACUUACAACCUCAUUCAAACUUAAAGAGACUCACUAUUCAUGGUUAUGGUGGUUCAAGAUUUCCAGAUUGGUUAGGUCCUUCAAUUCUGAAUAUGUUGUCGCUACGUCUCUGGAAUUGUAAGAAUGUGUCAACCUUUCCACCGCUUGGGCAGCUACCCUCUCUUAAACAUUUAUAUAUAUUGGGGUUGAGGGAGAUAGAAAGGGUGGGAGUUGAGUUUUAUGGCACUGAGCCCUCCUUUGUAUCCCUAAAAGCUCUAUCAUUUCAGGGUAUGCCAAAAUGGAAGAAAUGGUUGUGCAUGGGAGGCCAAGGUGGAGAAUUCCCCCGUCUCAAGAAGCUUUAUAUAGAGGAUUGUCCCCGGCUAAUUGGGGACUUCCCAACCCAUCUGCCUUUCUUGAUGACAGUACGGAUUGAAGAAUGUGAGCAGCUUGUGGCUCCACUUCCAAGGGUUCCAGCCAUCCGUCAAUUGACGACGCGCAGCUGUGACAUCUCACAGUGGAAGGAACUACCACCACUACUGCAGUAUCUCUCAAUUCAAAAUUCCGACUCUUUGGAGUCCCUACUAGAGGAGGGAAUGUUGCAAAGUAAUACUUGUCUUCGAAAGUUGAGAAUCAGAAAAUGUUCUUUUUCGAGACCGUUGUGCAGAGUUUGUUUGCCUUUUACAUUGAAAUCAUUAUCUAUAGAGGAGUGUAAGAAACUAGAGUUUCUCCUACCUAAGUUCUUAAAAUGUCACCACCCUUCCCUUGCCUAUUUUGGGAUCUUCAGUAGUACUUGCAAUUCUCUCUCAUCCUUCCCGCUCGGCAACUUCCCAAGUUUAACUUACCUCAGUAUCUGCGAUCUCAAGGGGCUUGAAUCCCUCUCCAUUUCAAUUUCAGAGGGCGAUGUUACAUCUUUUCAUGCGUUGAACAUCAGAAGGUGCCCUAACCUUGUGUCUAUUGAAUUGCCAGCUCUCGAGUUCUCACGAUAUUCCAUCCUCAAUUGCAAGAAUCUCAAGUGGCUGCUGCACAACGCUACAUGCUUUCAGUCAUUAACAAUAGAAGGUUGUCCUGAAUUGAUAUUCCCAAUACAAGGUCUGCAAGGGCUGUCCUCUCUUACCUCUCUCAAAAUCUCAGAUCUUCCAAAUCUCAUGUCCCUUGACAGUUUGGAGCUUCAACUGCUCACCUCUCUUGAAAAAUUAGAGAUCUGUGACUGCCCCAAGCUCCAAUUCUUGACAGAAGAGCAGCUGGCCACCAACCUUUCUGUUCUAACAAUCCAGAACUGCCCAUUGCUGAAAGAUCGGUGCAAGUUUUGGACAGGGGAAGAUUGGCAUCAUAUAGCUCACAUUCCACACAUUGUGAUCGAUGACCAAGUUUUGUAAUGAAAGUGGCAUUACACCAAUUUAUAGUCAGGUACUUGUUCUGUCCUAGAAAUGAUUGUCUCAGGAAAACUAACAUACUUAAAUACCAAUUUUGAUUUGAUCCAUUAUAAAUAGGAAAAAUAUGCUUUAAAUUUUCUAAUUAUUAAAACAAUUUUUUGCUUUCUUUCAGGUCAUCUGUGAUGCUUCACUCUGGCUCUGAUCAACGUAUCUUCAUAAGGAAUCUUUUAAGACUCCCUUCCUUAAUUAGUGCCUUGUCAAAUGCUUCAGAUUUCAUUUAGAGUGAAUUGAUGCUUAAAAGCCAAGCAGCUCUGCAGGUCUGAUUUUGUAAAUUGUGUUUCUUGUAUAAUUUUAUGGACCUUGGAUUUGUUUUCAGUGGCUAAUUUGCUGAAAUCUGAUGGCAGGCCUUUGAUCCUUGUUCCCUCAACAAACUCUAGCUGUCUAGCAAUGAUUUCCAAAGGGACCAUUUUUUUGUUGAGUGUUCUGGUUCAUGACUCUCUUUUUGGACAACAGUAGCCGAGAUUUUUUGCACCCAAAGAAUCAUGAGUUGAUACUCUGCUGGAGGAACUACAGAAGCUCAGGUCUGUUGGAGAGUGGAGCAUGCAGCAGGCUCUAUGAUUCCAAUUAGUGAGACAUUUCAAUUGCUUUGGUUUAACUUUCUAAGCUACAAAUUACAAUACUUAUAAUCUCAUAUGCAUUAUUUUUCAGGUUCUUUGAGGUUGCAUCUGUGUUGAUAUCUUAGUUCUUCUCUAAAAACAACAGGUCUGUUUCUUUUGAUUCAUACUUUUCAUAAGCUGACACAUUGUGGAGUUCCAUCAUUUUCAACACCAGAUAAACCUAAUACUAAAUUCUACUGAAGCUAAAACAAAAAUCUUACUGCCUGAGGUUCUGUCUUUCAUGCAUUUUAUUCACUAUGUUCAUAUGGCAUCUAAGCAACCUAGACAUUAACAUUUUCCUUAGUCUACAUACUGUUUUCAUCUCUUUCAUCUUUGAUUAAUCUGCAGAUGUUCAGUUCAGGCACCUCAAACUCAAAAUCUUCAGCUUCUGUCAUGCCAUCUCCUUCUCAUUUACAUGAUUGUCAUCCACCUUUGAGCUUUACUUUGUUAAUGGUAAGAUAGUCAUAAUAGUACUACAAUAGUUGAGCAUGGAUGGAGAACAAUGCAUGCUUUCAGUCUUUAACAUUACAUGGUUGUCCUGAAUUGAUAUUCCCAAUGCAGGGUCUUCCCUCCAACCUAAAUUCACUUACAAUGACAAACUGCAACAAACUUACAUCCCACAUGGACUGGCCUGCAAGGGCUGGCCUCUCUUAGCUCUCUCAAAAUCUCAGGCAUUCCAAAUCUCAGGUCCCUGGACAGUUUGGGGCUUCAACUGCUCACCUCUCUCCAAAAAUUAGAGAUCUGUGACUGCCCCGAGCUCCAAUCCUUGACAGAAAAGCUGCUGCCCACCUCCCUUUCUUUUCUAACAAUCCAUAACUGCCCACUGCUGAAAGGUCAGUGCAAGUUUUGGACAAGGGAAGACUCGCAUCAUAUAGCACACAUUCCAAACAUUGUGAUUGAUGACCAAGUAAUGUAAUGAAGGUAGCAUUACACUAAUUUUUAGUCAAGUACUGGUUCUGUCCUUACAGUAAUUUUCUCAGGAAAACUGAUAUGCUUAAAUACCAAUUUUAAUUUGAUCCAUCAUAAAUGGGAAAAAUUUGCUUUAAAUUUUCUAAUUAUUAUAAUAAUUUCUUGCUUCUUUCAGGUUAUCAGUAAUUCUUCUCUCUUGUAAAUUGAUGCUUCAUAUCUUCACAAGGAAUCUUCUUUUAAUAAAUAAUGCCUUGUCAAAUGCUUCAGUUCAGAUUUCAUCUAGCAAUUGAUGCUUAAAAGCCAAGCAGCUGUGCAGGUCUGAUUUCGUAACUUGCGUUUCUUGUAUAAUUUUAUGGACCUUGAAUUCGUUUUCAUUGGCUAAUUCACUGAAACUCAUGGAAGGCCUCUGAUCCUAGUUUUAUUAAUAAAUUUGAGCUGUCUAGCAACAAUCCUUCCAAUGGGACCUUUUUUUAUUGAGUUCAAAGACUCUUUCUGGAAGAUUGUAGCAGAUAUUUUUUAGCAUCCAAAGACUCAUGAUUGAUACUAGGCUUGAGGAACUGAGAGAGCUCAACUCUGUUAGAGAGUGGGGCAUGCAGCAUGCUCUAUGAUUCCCUUAGUAAGAUAUUUUAAUUGCUUUUGUUUGACUUUCUAAGCUACAAAUUACAAGGAUUUAUAAUUCCAUGUGCCUUAUUUUUUAGGUUCUCUGUGUUAAUAUUCUAGUUCUUCUCUAGAAAAAAACAGGUAUGUUUCUUCUGUGUUAAUACUUUUCAUAAGAUGACACAUUGUGGAGUUCCAUCAUAUGCAUGACAAGAUAAACCCAAUUCUAAAAUCAACUCAGGCUAAAACAAAAUAUCUUACUAACUGAAGUUCUCUCCUUAAUAAUUCUAUUCACCAUGUCCAUAUGGCAUCUUAGCGCCGUAAAUGUUAACAUUUUCCUUAGUGUAAUCAUUGUUUUAGCUUCAAUUAAUUUGCAGAUGUCCAGUUUAGACACCUCAAACUCAAAAUCUUCUGCUUGUGACAGGCCACCACUUCCUAGUCUUUGCUCAUUUCCUUCCCAUUUAAUUAUUGUCAUCAACCUCUGAUUUUUUUAUGUCGUUAAUAGUAAAAGAAUCAUAAUUGUACUACAUUAGUUGAGCGUGGAUGCUACAAUUUAAUUUCCAUAUUCAAGUUUUUCUUAUACUUACAAAUGAUAAUGUGAGCUCUAGAUUUUCUUCUUUCAAAUUUGUGAUUAUGAGGAAGAUACUUGGAGUAGAGAGGAGCCAAACCAUAUUCAAAGUCACAGCACUGCAGAAUAUGGUUUUGUUCCACCAAGUUCAGGUCAGUUGGGUGGAAUCUUAUUAAUACUUCAAGGACACAUUUUCCAAACUUGAUGACUGCCUCUAACCUGAACUAAGUAUUUUUUUUACCAGCUUUGUGUUAAGAAAUUGUGAACGUGUUGGAUCUGCUCAUACAACCUCCCUCCAUGAUGAAUUUUAACUACUCAAUACUUGAAGGAUGGCUACUCAACUGAAUUCUAUUUAUUGGAGCACGAUUUGAGCUUUUCUUCCUUACCCAGGUAUAGUGCUAUAAAAUUUUCAGUCUAAAGAGUAUUUAUAACCCCAUAUGAAUUUUAAUGUCAGAUUCAGUUGAUUAGCAUGUGACCAUUAUUAUUUUCAGAUGGUAGCAUUUUGAAUCAUUGGAACAAUUGCAGGAGGAAGCUUUGCCAAAGCCUCCCUAUGCAAUACAUGGGCCUUUGGUUGCAAGUGAGAUUCGAGGAUUCUAUUUUCUCUUGGAAGACUUCAACUCAUUUUUUUUGAGUUUUGAACUUUGAGCUUUUACUUCCAAGCAUGUGCAAAGAAGAAAGAGAGCAACAACAAAGGUCCGCUUAUAGAAGUUUUAUAUGGAGUGAGACUCCCAUGAAAAAUAUUGUAGCUAUUGGUUUGUCAACCUUGAAGGUUAUAGUUCUGUUUCCCAUUGGAUCUUUAAGGAGUGCGUCUGUUGAAUCAUAUAUUUUGAACUUACUACUGACUUUGUGUAUAUACACACAUGUAAAUGAUGUUUUCUUCUUCAUUCAUGUGGAAUUUGAUUCUCUAGUGCAUGUUGAAAAGUUAUAAGUUUGUUCCAGGGUUUUACUUGAAGUGAGGUUAGAUAUGCCCUUUUUUUGCAUUUUGGUGUAUAAAAGAGUUUACAUCAUAGGCAAAUCACUUCCAAUCCAACUUCUUUUUAACAUUUUUGAUUCCUUUUAUCCUCCUCAAGGUGACUUAGGUGCAAAUUGGGCUUUUGGGUUAAUUUAAUAGUUUCACAUUUCUGAGUCCUUGUUUUCAAGAUUUUAAGGAGCAUUAGGUGGCUCAUGAUGAAUGCAAUUGGAUGGAUUCAGCUUCCUCAAGAUGUUUGAACAUAUACCCAAGUGAAACUCUCAAACAAGUUUUGACAUUAUUUUUGGAUAAUUAAUCAAAAUAAUAAUUUUUGAAAGAAAUAUCUAUCAAUUUUAGUCCAAUAAUUAUUUUGACUAACUAUUAAAAGUGAUUUUUAGGAUUUUAUAGAGUAAUAAGUUUUAAAAAGAAGGCAGUUUUAAAAUUUAAAAAGUGCCUUUAAGAGUCUACUUGGUAAUCUUUUAAAAAACAAUUCUCAGAUCAAUUUUAAAAAUAAGUCCAAUUAUUUUUAUAAUAAAAUAGUCUUGUUAGAAAUACUGAACAAUUGUAUUGUAUUUCAUAGGAGAAAGAAUAUACAUCAGUGCCUUUAUAUAGGAGGCAUAUGUGUGCGGUACAAGUAACCUAACUGGGCCUAAAGCCCAUAACAUAAUAUACCCAUAUAAUAUACCCAUAAUAUACAUUAACAGCCCCCCUCAAACUCAAGGUGGAUGUGAGACCAACUUGAGGUUGUCAAUUAAAUCACGAGUACGUCUUGUAGGAAGUGACUUGGUGAAGAUAUCUGCAAGCUGAUCUUUGAAGGAGACGAAGAAAAGCUUAAGAGCACCAUGGACAAGAUGAUAACGGAUAAAAUGACAAUCAAUCUCGAUGUGUUUAGUCCGUUCAUGAAAGACAUCAUUGUGAGCAAUAUGAAUGGCACUCUGGUUGUCACAAUAAAGGGGAGUAGCAGAGGAGGUGGACACACCCAAAUCCUUAAGAAGCCAUCUUAGCCAAAGGAGCUCAGAUGUGGUAUCAGCAAGGGCACGAUAUUCUGCUUCAGUACUGGAGCGGGCCACAAAAGUUUGUUUCUUACUUCUCCAAGAAAUCAAAGAAGAACCAAGAAGGAAGCAGUAACCUGUAGUGGACCUGCGAUCAGUAGGAUCUCCUGCCCAAUCAGCAUCAGAGAAUGCACGGAGUACAAGAGGAGAUUGAGCUGAGUAGAAAAGGCCAUGAAAAAUGGUACCCUUCAGGUAUCGAAGAAUGCGCAGAACAGCAGCAUAGUGAGUUGAUCGUGGAGCAGACAAAUACUGGCUCACCUGAUGAACAGCAUAGGAGAUGUCUGGACGAGUAACUGUGAGAUAAACUAAGCUGCCAACCAAUCGUCUGUAAAGAGAAGGAUUGGACAAUGGUUUCCCCCCGGAGGGUGUCAGAUGCGCAUUAAGUUCGAUUGGAGUGUCAACAUUCUUACUGUCAGUGAGUCCGACUUGAGACAGCAGAUCAGAAGCAUACUUGGCUUGAGUAAUAUAAAGACCAUAUGUGGAAUGAGUAAUUUCAAGACCCAGGAAAUAGCUGAGAUGUCCAAGAUCUUUCAUCUCAAACUGCUGACUGAGAAAAUCCUUGAGUUCUUGAAUGCCACUAAGGUCAUUACCAGUUAUGAUCAUAUCAUCCACAUGUAGAAGAAGCAAAAUAGUGCCUUUAUCAGUACGAUGAAGAAAUAAGGCAGAAUCAUACGGACUGGCAGUGUAACCCAAGCGAAAAAUAGUGGAGCUGAACUUGGCAAACCAAGCUCGUGGGGCUUGUUUAAGACCAUAAAGUGCACGUCGAAGAUGACAAACCUUGUUUGAUUCAACAAAGAGACUAGGAGGAGGUUGCAUAUAGACUGCUUCACUCAGAUCCCCAUUAAGGAAGGCAUUUUUAACAUCCAUCUGAAAAAGGUCCCAUUGACGAGCAGCAGCAACAGCUAAGAGAGCACGAACAGAUGAGAUACGAGCAACUGGAGCAAAAGUCUCUUCAUAAUCAAUCCCAUAUUCCUGUGUAAAGCCUUUGGCAACAAGACGAGCCUUGUAGCGCUCAACGGAUCCAUCAGAGCGAGUCUUGAUCUUAUAGAUCCACUUACAACCAACCACAGACUGUCCAGGAGGGAGAGGAACCAGGUCCCAAGUAUGGUUUUUGGUUAAUGCAUCAAGUUCCUCUUUCAUAGCAAUCUGCCAUAAAGGGUCAGUAGAGGCCUCACGAUAGGUUUGAGGCUCGUGAAGUGUAGCAAGGGCAGUGUAACAAUGAUAGUCAAGUAGGUGUGGAGGAAUGGAUCUUACCCGGGUUGAGUGGCGAGGUGGAAUGUCUUGUGGAGGAUCUUCAGGCAGAGUAGGAGCAGGGGACCCAGUCUCAAAGUGGGGUAGCUCGUCAUCAAUCUGUUCAUCUGCAACCUGUCUAGGAGAAGCAUCAAAAAUAUCUGGAGAGAAGUCCAAAGGAGGAUCAAAAGUAUUUGUAGAAGGAACAAGAGACUCAUCUGGAAAGAUUUCUAAAACAGAGGAGUUAGUCAAGGAAGAAUGAAAGUGAGAGAGUUCAACAAACAAUCGAUGUUCCCAAAAAACAACAUUAUGAGAAACACGAAGACGAUGAGAGACAGGAUCAUAACACCUAUACCCCUUUUGAGUUUCACCAUAACCAAGGAAACAACAGAGUCUAGAGCGAGGCUCAAGUUUGUUGUGCUCAUGAGACUGAAGAAGAACAAAACAAGCAGAUCCAAAUGAGCGAAGGUGAUGAUAGACAGGGGGUGACCCAAAGAGACGCUCAUACGGAGUCUGAUUAUGGAUGACAGCACUUGGAAUACGGUUAAUUGCAUGAACAGCAUGAAGAGCCGCUUCACCCCAAAAUGGGGCAGGAAUUUUGGCAGAAAGAAGCAGAGCACGAAUAGUGUCAAGAAUAUGACGAAGUUUUCUUUCGGCUCGACCAUUUUGCUGAGAGGUACCUGGACAAGUUAGAUGAUGUACAAUGCCAUAGGAAUGUAACAGAGCUUGAAACGCAUGUUGAGUAUAUUCAAGAGCAUUAUCAGAUCGAAAAGUUUUGAUACGUUUGGAGAAUUGUGUUUCAAUCAUUUUUGCAAAAUUGCUAUAUAUUGAUAAAAUUUCGGAACGAGAUUUCAUAGGGAAAAUCCAACUAUAACGAGAAUAAUCAUCAAUAAAAACAACAAAGUAUCGAGAUCCACCAAUACUAGCAACAGGAGAAGGUCCCCAAACAUCAGAAUGAAUUAACUCAAAAAUACUAUUAGAAAUGGAUUCACUGUUAUUAAAAGGCAAAGCUGGCUGUUUUCCUAACUGACAAGAAGUACAAUAAAAAAUGUCUUUAGACACAGAACCCAACAGACCCCUAGACACUAACUGUUGUACCCGAGAAGAUGAUGCAUGACCAAGACAAAAAUGCCAAAGUGCAAGAGAAGGUAAGGAAGAAACUGCAGCAGCUGCAGUAGCAAUAGAAACAGAAGCAACAGGUGGAAGAUGAAGAUUGCUCACGGGAAACAUACACCCAACUCUAGGACCGGUCCCAAGCUCCUGCCCCGUCCUUGGAUCCUGCACAAUACACCCAGAAUAGUCAAAAAUAAGGCGAUGACCUAGUUCAGCUAAUUGUCCCACAGAGCACAAAUUAUAGGAUAGGUCAGGAACAUGGAAGACUCCAGGAACAGAAAGAUUAGAGGUUGAAACAAAACCUAGACUAUUCCCAUGCAUGGUGGAACCAUCAGCUAUAUGAAUAUUUAGAGGAUGUGGUGCAGGGUCAAGUUUGGAGAAUAGGGAUGAGUGAGGUGUCAUGUGAUUGCAGCAGGCAGAAUCAAAAAGCCAAGUUUGAGACUUACCAGGUAGAACAGAUAAGGUAGUGGAAAGAGAUGCAUUACUAGCCAUACGAACAGCCUGAGCUAUGAUCUCCUGUAGUUCAGUGGAGGAGAGGUUGAUAGUAGAUCCAGAAGACUUGGACUCAACUGAGGUGGAAGCCAUUGGCGGAGUAGGCUCAAUAUUAGCAACAGCAGCAGUAGAUUUGUUACGACGGUAACAAGUCUCAAUGGUGUGGCCAGGACGCUUGCAAUAGUUGCAGAACUUUUUGUUGGUCUGCUUGCGACGAUUGCUAGAACCAUAAGAAUCACCUGAUUGCUGGGGUUGCUCUAUGAGUGGAGUAGAUGGAGUAAUAGCCAAAACAUUGAACUUAUUCUGGGCUUGAAGGGUUGCAAGACAAGCUUCUUCUCUAACCAACUCAUUUACAGCAGUAUCAAGAGAGGGAGUAGGACUGCGAUUGAGUAGCUGACCACGAAUGGGCUCAAAGUCCUUGUGAAGUGACAUCAAGAAUUCAUAGAGGCGAAAUUCAUCUCUAAUGGAAGCAUAUUGCUGAGCAUCUUUUGAGCAUGUCCAAGUUGGAUCAGAAAGGUCAAUUUGGUCCCAAAUAAAGCGAAGCUGAUCAUAAUAGUCAUUGAUGGAUUGCCUUGGUUCUUGCCUGAGUUGAUGUAAUUCAACCACUAAUUGAUAUUUUAGGGAUCCAUGAGUAGUGGAGUACCUUUUGGCCAACAUAUCCCAUGCAGAUUUUGCAUCAUCAAAGCUGCCCAUCAGAUUGGAAAUAGAGGGAAUGGAAGUGUUCCGAAUCCAUGUGAGGAUCAUGUGGUUAUGACUAUCUCAUUCAAUCAUGCGAUUAAGAAAAACAGCAUCUCCUUCACUUGCUCCCUUGACAGGAAUAGUCAUUACACCAGUACAAUAAUGCCAGAGCAUGCGACCCUUAAGAAAACUGCGCAUAGCUUGAGACCAAGAUAAGUAAUUUUUAUUUCCCUCCAAUACAGUAUUGAUGGGGCUAGAAAGAAAAAUAUCCUUUUUAUCCAUUUAGAGACACAAUAUGCAAAAACAGACUGCAAAAGUGAAAUCUACGCGAAAAACUGGGUAAGGAGAACCUGGUCAGCCCUGGAAAAGUCAACGGUCAACACUGGUAAAAGUCAACGGUCAACAUUGGUCCACGUGGGGGUCACGGUCAAAGUCAACGGUCAACGAUGGCAAAGUCAAUGGUCAAAGCGGGUCAACGGUCAACGCUGGUCAACGGAUGACGUGGAGAUGAUGUCAGCUAGGGCUAACGUGGCACUGACGCGUUAGUAGUUGUGACGUAGCUAGGGCUGACGUGGCAGAGAGAAUGACGUACGGGCUCCGAGGGCGACGAGGUUUCCACGAAUGUGUAGAUCGGCGUUGGACGAUCUCAGUGGUACCGUCAAAAUUGAAAUCGGAGCAAUAUUCGCAGCGGUGAUGCGAAAAACAGUGAUCUUGUGCGGUGUGAAACUCCUUAAGGACUGCAGGUCCGGAACCCAAGGACGACGCCUGGAUGACGUCAGAGGUUCAACGGCAAAAGGCUGUGACGACAGUUGUGAUUGGCAGAAGCGUUAAAAAGAAAGGAAGUCACACUAAUGAAGACAGACUGCUAAGAAAGGGUCAGAGCAGUGGCUCUGAUACCAUGUUAGAAAUACUGAACAAUUGUAUUGUAUUUCAUAGGAGAAAGAAUAUACAUCAGUGCCUUUAUAUAGGAGGCAUAUGUGUACGGUACAAGUAACCUAACUGGGCCUAAAGCCCAUAACAUAAUAUACCCAUAUAAUAUACCCAUAAUAUACAUUAACAAGUCUUCUUAAUUCAUAAAGGUCAAAAGUUCCUAUUUUCUAUAUUUUAUAUGGAUGCAAAGGACGCUCUAUACUAUUUUAAAAAUCUAUCCCCAGAAGUUAUUUUGAUUAGGUUAUUUUUAAAACGCUUUUUCUUUUUUUUUUUUAAAAAAAAGGAUAAGUUAUUUUUAAAAAUAAUUUUUUAUUUUGAUUUUGUAAAAAACAAAUUGUUAAUUCAAUUUAAAUAAUAUAAAAUAAAUUUAAUUCAAGUAUUAUUAAACAAAAAAAUAAUUUUUUAAUUACAAAUAAACUAAAAUAAAUAAAUAGUUUUUAAUAAAAUAUGAAUAAUAAUAUUAUAAUAAAUCAUAAAUUACAUUUUUUUUAUAUAAAUAUUAUUAAAAUAUAGAUAUUAACAUCUUAUAAAAGCAUUAUUUAUUUUGUUGAAACUAAAUAACAAUAAUAUAAAAUUAAUAAUUGCUAAUACUAUUUUUAAAAAUCAUUAAACUUAUGACUUUGCUUUUAAAAAAUUGUACUCAAGAACAACAACCAAACAAUGGUAUUAAUUUUUAAAAACAAUUUUAUUUUUAAAUCAUAAGCCCAAAUAGUUUUUUAUUAUUUAGCAAAACAAAAAACCCUCAAAGUUGUUUUUUUCUUAAUUGAAAAUAAAAAAUUAUUUUAAAUUCAGAUUUAAAAGAAGGAAAAUAAAAUAUUAUUUUAAACUAUACAUAAAUAUUGCCUUUUUUUUUCAUUCCCGUUCCAUUAUUACUUAACAUUAAAAUGGAAAUUAACAAAUAUACAUCCAAGUACAAGAAUUGAAAUAACCAAAUUAUUCAUCCCUAUUCAAUGACAAGUAAGAAUGGAAAGAAAAUUUUCAUUCUCAGUACUUAUUCUCAUGUACCAAAUAUUAUCUCAAAGAUUUGAGACCCUUAAUGAAGUUAAUGUUCUUCGGACCUUUUUACUAUUAAAUUUUAGGACUUGGCCUCAGUAUGAUAAGAUUUCAAAGGUUAUAUAUCCAUCGGAUGGGCGUAAAUAUCUUCUACAGAUAUGCUUGAGUAAUAGAGUUUUGGAGUGAUUUAUUAAUAAAGUCCAAUAUUUACCGAGUGUUGUCACUGUGAUAUUUAGACCUUACCUCCACAUCCACCAAAAGUUAUUUGAAUCAGUUUGCAGUUUGUAUAACUUACCAACAUUGAUACUAUAUUAUUGUGGUUCUCUUGUUGAAUUGCCUGCAGUGAUGUGCAAAUUGAUUAGGUUGCAUCAUCUUGAUAUUAGUCAUAGUGGAAUGCACGAGAUGCCAAGUCAAAUGGAUCACUUUUUACAAAAAUUGAGUAACUAUAGAGCGGGCAAGCAAAGUGGGAACAGGGUUGCAGAGUUGAGGGAGCUUUCCCACAUUGGUGGAAGUUUUCAAGUGGUGCGGGUGGUGGUAGAGGUAGAGGGUAUGCCUUCAAGUGGGUCCUCUAGACCACGAGUUGGAGUUCAUGCACGCGUUCUUUAAUUUUGAAGGAUUUGCAAAGAAACUUUCAAAUAUCCAAAAUCUUAAAUUAAAAAAAUAAAAAAAUAAAAAAAAUAAAAAGGACCCAGUAGAAUAAUUUUGUAUCAUAGGAAUAAGAGUUGAAUCCACCAAUCAGCAAGAAUAAUUAUUAAAUGAAUCAACCGUAUUGAGACAAAAAGUCUUCAGGUGUGAAACGCUUGAGACUUUCCCAAAGGCAAAAUCAUUCAAUAGAAAAAGGACUCCAGCUACAAGCAAAACAAAGGGGCAAAUGUAUAUAAAGAUAAAAGUCUGCAUUCAUUCCCAAUCUUCCUUGGAUCAACUGUAGACCACAGGGCACGCCUCAACCCCGCAAAGGAUACUCAUUUCCUUCACCUUGAUCAACAGACCCUUCACUCUUUUUCUUAUACGUCCUCCUGGCUGUGUCAUUCAUUAUCCAUUGGAGCUUGACCUUCUUCCUCCCCAUAGCCUGAUGUUUACUUGGAUCUGUCACCAAGAAUAUCAAAAUAUCUUGCUUUCCCAUUGAUUUAUGGGUCUUCUUAUAGACAUAAAAGCGCCUGUAAGAGGGGGUGCAACCCUUUGAAUGGACAAUAAAAGCUAAUCCUUGGAAAUUUUUGUUUUGGGUAUAAAUGAUCAUUAUUUCGAUUAUUUUUAUUUAUAUUUCUGGAUUGCACUCAGUGACAGGUUUUUAAGACUUAAUCCUUUACAGAUAUUGUGUUUUCUAGAUCUAAUUGAAUCUAAAGUUUUUUUUUUUCCCAAAAUUUGUUUCCUAUUUAUUAUGGUCAAGUCCAAAUUGAGUAAUACAACAUCACUUGUAAUAAAUUAAGUAAUACAACAUGCCACUACCUAUUUUUCCUUAGAUUUUAUUUUCAAACAGUAAAAAAGCAAGUUGAUACGAUCUAUUUUACCUUAAAUUUUAUUUUCGAAAACUAAAAGAAAGUUGACACGACCUAUUUUUCAUUAAAUUUUAUUUUCAAAAAUAAAAAACAAGUUGACACAACCUGUUUUUUCUUAAAUUUUAUUUUUGAAUAGCAAAAAAUAAUUUGAGAUGGACUAUUUUUCCUUAAAUUUAUUUUCAAAUAGUAAAAACCAAGUUGAUAUCAUAGUAACUUAUCCUAUUUAUCAUGCUCAAUUCCAAAGUGAGUAAUAUGACAUAACUCAUGAUAAAUUAGGUAUGAUAAAUUAGGUGAUAUAACAUGACCUAUUUUUCCUUUGAUUUUAUUUUCAUACAGUAAAAAGCCAAAUUGACAUGACUUACUUUUCUUUAUAUUUUAUUUUCAAACAGUAAAAAAACAAGUUGACAUGACCUAUUUUUUUCCAUAAAUUGUAUUUUUGAAUAGUAAAAAAAAGAAAAUUGAUGCCACCUAUUUUUUCUUAAAUUUUAUUUUUUGAAUGUUAAAAAUCAUAAUAACACGACCUAUUUUGCUUGAAAUUUAUUUUUGAAUAGUAAAAAACAAGUUGAUACCAUAGUAACCUAUCCUAUUUAUCAUGGCCAAUUCCAAAUUGAGUGAUAUGACAUCACUCAUGAUAAAUUAGGUGACACAAUAUGACACGACCUAUUUUUUUUACAUUUUAUUUUCAAACAGUAAAAAAAAUAAAUUGACAUGAUCUAUUUUUCCUUAGAUUUUAUUUUCGAAUCGUAAAAAUACAAGUUCACAUAACAUAUUUUUCCAUAAAUUUUAUUUUCAAAGAGCAAAACACAAGUUGGCACGAUAUUUUUGAACGGUUUGCAAGGACUGCCCUCUCCUACCAGUAGUAGAAUCUUAGGUCUUUAAAAAAAUUAGAGAUCUAUGACUAGCCCAAGCUCCAAUCCUUAACAUAAGAGCAACUGCCCCCCAACCUUUUUGUUUUAACAAUCCAGAAGUGCCCACUGCUAAAAGGUCAGAGCAGAAGUUUUGGACAAGGAAAGAUUAACAUCAGAUAACACAUAUUCCACACAUUGUGAUCGAUGACCAAGUUUUAUAAUGAAGGUAGCAUUACACCACUUUUUAGUCAAGUACUGGUUUUGUCCUAAAAGUAAUUUUCUCAAGAAAACUGAUAUGCUUAAAUACCAAUUUUAAUUUGAACAAUUAUAAAUAGGAAAAAAUAUGCUUUAAAUUUUCUAAUUUUUAUAAUAAUUUCUUGUUUUCUUUCAAGUUAUCAGUGAUUCUUCACUCUUAUAAAUUGAUGUUUCAUAUCUUCAUAAGAAAUCUUCUUUUAAUCAAUAAUGUCUUAUUAAAUGCUUCAUAUUAUCAAGGAGCACAAUAUGCAUAUUGAACCAAAAUCCUCCAACCUUAAACUUUUAGGAAAAUUGGUAGUUUAAUAUGGUAUCAGAACUUGGUUUUGUAGGGGGUUAUGAGUUUGAGUCAACUCUCCGCAAUUUGCAUAUUUGUUUCUCUCAUUUGUUUCUUUUCUCCCUCUUUACAAUUCUUUAGUAUCUCUCUCCCUCAAUUUGCAAUUCUAUGGUAUUUCUCCACACGAGGAAGGGUGUUAAGGAGCAUGAUAUACAUUUUGAACCCAAAUCCUCUAAACUUAGUUUUUUUAAGAAAAAUGAUAGUUCUACCAAAAAGUCAAGCAAUUUUGCAUGUCUAGUUUCAUAACUUGUGUCUCUUGUAUAACUUUAUGGACCUUGAAUUCGUAACUUGUGUUUCUUGUAUAAUUUUGUGUACCUUAAAUUCAUUUUUAUUAGCUAACUCACUGAAACCUCGUGGCAAGCCUUUGAUCCUAGUUUUCUCAACAAAUUCGAGCUAUCUAGCAGACAAUUUUUAUCAUCUAAAGACCAAUAUAUAAUUUAUAUGUUACUUGAGGAAUUAGAGAAAGCUCGACUUUGUUGGAGAGUGGAGUGGAGUAUGCAGCUUGUUCUGUGAUUCCAAUUAGUAAGACAUUUCAAUUCCUUUAUUUUAAGUUUCUAAGCUACAAACUACAAUGAUUUACAAUUUCAUAUGCAUUAUUUUUCAGGUUCUCUAUGUUAAUAUCUUAGUUCUUCUUUAGAAACAAUUGGUAUGUUUCUUUUGAUUCAUACUUUUCAUAAAGAAAAUUGUCAAAAAUUUAAUUUUCUUUCUUUUCACUUUUUCAUGUAGAAUCAAACAAGAAUAUUUUUUUUUUUUUUUACUAUGUUUGUGCUCCUUAUCUUUUUUCUUUAUGAUUUUUUUCCUUCAAACUUUUAAGAAAUAAAAAAUUAUUUGGCUUACAUUUAUAAAAUAUAGUCAUAUAGUAUAAUAUAAUAUUGUGUAGGCUCUGAGCUGAUACGAUAUUCAUAAGGCCUUAGCUCAUGGCCAAUAUGCAAGUUUAGAUUGAAUUAGAAUUUCCAAACUUUAAUAUUUUUUAGAUUGGCUUUAAAUUGAAUUGUGUUUAAAUUCCUAGUUUCAAGAGACCUAAAAUGGUGGUGAUCUUUUUGAUUCAUUGAUAUUUUUUUUUUUUUUUUUUUUUUUUUGCUUUUUUCAAUCAAGAUAGAAAGUAUAUCAAUUUUAUUAAUUAAUAAAAGAUGUUCUCUUUGCAAAGCAAAAGACAUGGCUGUGGUUGGAGAAGAAACAUAUUGAGACAACUUAAAAUAAUUUUGUUUCUAGUUGGAAUUUUGCUUUCAAAACUUAUAAAAUUGGUAAGUUAAGGGGUUAAAUUGAGAUAUGAAUUUCCGUGUAUGUUGGUUUUUCAGAAUUUAUCAUAAAAAUGAAUACAGUGAAGGAAAAGGAGAGGGAAUGAAAAAGAAGGGGGGAAAAAGAGAGUUAGGAUUGACUAGGGUUUUAGAUGAGUGUGGUGAUAAAAAUGAUGGGUUAAGUCCCCCAUUCAAAUAGAUGUAAAAUCAUAUAACAGGGGAUCAUUCUUGAUAAAGAUCAAGAAACUAACAGCUUCAACAACUCCUCAACAAACUGAUGUAUUGAUCAGUUAGAUAGUUACACCUGCAAGCAGCUAGAACUCAAUCAAGAUUUUAUUCACUGGAGAAGAUUUGAUAGAAUGAUUCGCAGCUGGAUAUAUUCAUCCCUUACUCCUGAAAUUAUGGGACAAAUAGUAGGGCACUAGACAUCUCAUGCAGCAUGGACUGCAUUAGAGAAAAUUUUCUCUGCUUCCUCAAAAGCACAGAUAAUGCAACUAAGGCUGGAGUUCAAACCACUCGGAAAAAGAUCUCUUUCCAUGAUGGAAUAUAUACUCAAGCUCAAGACACUAACCGAUAAUUUGGCUGCCAUUGGAGAACCGGUCACAGAGAGAGAUCAAGUUUUGUAGCUUCUUGGUGGUCUUGGAGCUGAAUACAGCCCCAUAGUGGCGUCUCUCACAGCUUGAGAAGAUGAAGUAUCUCUCCACUCUGUCCACAGCAUUAAUUCUGCUCACACAUGAGCAGCGCCUCCAAUUUCAAAACUCCAUCAUAGAAAAAGAAACUCUAUCCACUCAUAUUGCUUCUCACAGUCGAACUACUCAAUCAAGAACAUCCCAGAAUAACAGAAAUAAUUUUUCUCUUCACCAACAGAAUGGUUUUUCUCAUCCUUCAAGAAGAGGACACCCAGGAGGUCAUGGACAAGAACAUGUUUAGUGUAACAAUAUCCAUAUUAUGUUCAUUCAUAUCUCAAAUAUUAAAGCUAUAUUAAAACUAUUAAUAUUGUAAAUAUUAAUACUUAUUCUUAUAUAUUCUUAAAUAAGAUAUUGAUAGAUAGUGACUAAGUAUAUCCCGAACAAAUACUAUAAUAAUGUGCAAAAUAAAUAUAACAUGUGUUUAUUUUAUAGAAAAGUUUGAUUUAUAUAUAAUUUCACAUAUUUUAUAGGAUAUCUCUCAAAUCUUAUGACAAACAUCUUGAAUAUUCAUAAAGUUAAUUUCAUUAUUCAUUUAUUAUAAUAAUAAUAUUCAAUUUAUUUUUUAGUUAAUUAUAUCUUUAUUAUUUGACUUUUCUCAUUUAUGUUGAAUAUUAUAAUGAUAAUAUUAAAUUUAUUUUUUAAUUACUUAACUAUAACUAAUAUGAUUAUCACUUAUGUUGAUUGCUGAAAAGUUAAAUUGUAAUUAAACAGUAAAAAGUUAAACAGGGGCUUCCCACCUCUAUUUCUUUUCUAAAAAUGAGCUACUAUCUCCUGGUGAAACAUCAAUACCAAUUCUGGAAAGGGGAAGAUUUGCAGCAUAUAGCUCACAUUCCACGCAUUGUGGUGGACGAUCAACAAGGUUCUUAUAAUGUGCUAUAAAUGAUUUUCUUCAAAAGGCAGUAAUUUGUGAUCAAAACUUUUUAUAUCAGCUUUGCCUUAAGGAAUUGUGAAUCAAUCCGAUCUACUCAUACCGCAACUCUAUAAAUUUUCUUCCCUGUUACUUUGUGUAAGGUUAUGUUUGGUUUCCGGAAAGUAUUAAGGAAGGAAAAAAAAAUGCUAAUAGCCCAAAGGAGAAGUAUAAUAAAGAUCGGGGCAUUAAUGGAUGAGAUUGCCUGAUCAAGCGGGCCUAAUCGGGGCCCUUAACAUAUGGGCUUGGACAGCACUAAUUCUGGUCGGAAUAGGCAGGCUUAGGUUGGUGGGAAGAGUCUUGUCCCAGUGGAAGGGCCAAUGCUAGGUAGCCUGGCCCGAAGCUUGUUUUUCCUUUCUUUUUUUUCGUCUCGGUCGGAAGCUUCUCUUUUUUAAGAAUGGGUUCCACAAUUAACACUGCCUAUCCACUAGGUGUGCUAAAUGGUCAGCCGGCCUUAUCAGGAAUCUUGCAUAUUAUACUCAAAUUGUCGCAACUUGAAUGAAGGGACAACCCCAAAGGUCUUAUCCUUUCAAUGUUUUACAUAUCAGAUAGGUGAUUUUGUUAAAAUAUAUUAUAUAUUAUAGACUAUUGAAGGGCAGGCUUAAUCCCUACCACUCAUAUUUACACAUUCAGAAAAACAAAAAUCAAUGAUUCUGCAAUUUUGUUUUUGGCAGCCAAAUUGCUAGUCACAUGACUGAGAAUUCUUUGUCACUAGUUAAUAUUUUUUCUUCUUUACUGGCCCUUGUGUUUGGUUAAGAAUAGGGAAGUUGCAGUGCGUUUCAUAUCAUAAACCGAAAUUCUACAGUUUGGUUUGCAUCUGCUUAAGUAUUUGUUUACCAUAUGUUCAAUAAUGUGGACAUACCUGUAGGUGGAAAAUAUUCUUAUUUGUUUAUGUGGACAUUUGGACUAUUAAUAGACUAACUGACAGGCCAUGUUCAUCCGCCUCUUUAUUGUAUCUAGGGGCCGCCCUAUUUGGUGACAAGGUUCUUCGUUGUUGACCAAAACUAGUCUGCUUGAUUUGCAUCUGCUUUCAUUCAUUUUUCUUUGAUCCAGUAUUCACUUCCCUUGCAAACCAACAGACAUGGCCGGGGCUAUAGUAGGAGGAGCAUUUCUCUCCGCUUCUAUCCAAGUUCUACUUGACCGAAUGGCUUCUCGCGAGGUCCUCACCUUCCUCCGGGGACAGAAACUCAGUGCUACGCUCCUAAGGAAGUUGAAGAUAAAAUUGCUGGCAGUUCAGGCAGUGCUCGAUGACGCUGAGGCCAAGCAAUUCACAAAAUCAGCUGUAAAAGAUUGGCUGGAUGACCUGAAAGAUGCUGUGUAUGAUGCAGAGGACCUGUUGGAUGAGAUAACCACCGAAGCUCUUCGCUGCAAAAUGGAGUCUGAUGCUCAAACCAGCGCAACUCAGGUAAGUGACAUCACCUCUGCCUCGCUUAAUCCGUUUGGUGAGGGGAUCGAGUCCAGGGUAGAGGAGAUCACUGACAAACUAGAGUAUCUUGCACAAGAAAAAGAUGUUCUGGGAUUGAAAGAAGGCGUUGGAGAAAAAUUGUCACAAAGAUGGCCC
rnacentral:lncRNA from 1 species